ACAACUAGUUCAUUGAAAUGAUAACUUGUUUAGUACACAAACAAGAUCUUACUUAAUACAUAGAAAUAAGAUCUUACGGAACAUAGAGAUUAAAAACAUAGGAACAACAUGAAAAGUUUUUAAAAUGACAUAGAUAUUGAUUAACAAAGAUAUGAACUAGUUUCGGGUAUUUUUUAACCAUCCAUCAAGGUAAACUUGUUUGGAGUCAGGGGUGGAUUUUGGUCUAAUAUCUUUCAACCAUCCAUCAAGGUAAACUUGGUUGGAAUCAGAGGAGGAUUUUGCUUUUUCAGCUCGAGUGUCUUUCAACCAACCAUCAAGAUAAACUUGUUUGGGAUCAGAGGUGGAUUUUGUUUUCUCUGCUCGAGUAUCUUUCAACCACCCAUCAAGGUAUACUUGGUUGGAGUCAGGGGUAGAUUUUGUUCUCUCGUUUCGAAUAUCUUUCAACCAUCCAUCAAGGUAAACUUGGUUGGAAUCAGAGGAGGAUUUUUCUUUUUCAGCUCGAGUGUCUUUCAACCAACCAUCAAGAUAAACUUGUUUGGGAUCAGAGGUGGAUUUUGUUUUCUCUACUCGGGUAUCUUUCAACCACCCAUCAAGGUAUACUUGGUUGGAGUUAGGGGUAGAUUUUGUUCUCUCGUUUCGAAUAUCUUUCAACCAUCCAUCAAGGUAAACUUGGUUGGAGUCAGAGGAGGAUUUUUCUUUUUCAGCUCGAGUGUCUUUCAACCAACCAUCAAGAUAAACUUGUUUGGGAUCAGAGGUGGAUUUUGUUUUCUCUACUCGGGUAUCUUUCAACCACCCAUCAAGGUAUACUUGGUUGGAGUCAGGGGUAGAUUUUGUUCUCUCGUUUCGAAUAUCUUUCAACCAUCCAUCAAGGUAAACUUGGUUGGAGUCAGAGGAGGAUUUUUCUUUUUCAGCUCGAGUGUCUUUCAACCAACCAUCAAGAUAAACUUGUUUGGGAUCAGAGGUGGAUUUUGUUUUCUCUACUCGGGUAUCUUUCAACCACCCAUCAAGGUAUACUUGGUUGGAGUCAGGGGUAGAUUUUGUUCUCUCGUUUCGAAUAUCUUUCAACCAUCCAUCAAGGUAAACUUGGUUGGAGUCAGACAUGGUUUUUGUUUGCUUUGCUCGAGUAUUUUUCAACCAUCCAUCAAGGUAAACUUGGUUGGAGUCAGAUGUAGAUUUUUCUUUCUCAGCUCGGGGAUCUUUUAACCAUCCAUCAAGAUAAACUUGUUUGGAGUCAGAGGUGGAUUUUGUUUUCUCUGCUCGGGUAUCUUUCAACCAUCCAUCAAGGUAAACUUGAUUGGAGUUAGGCAUGGACUUUUCUUUCUCGACUCUGAUAUUUUUCAACCAUCCAUCAAGAUAAACUUGGUUUGAGUCACUUGCAGGUUUUGUUUUCUCAACUCGGGUAUUUUUCAACCAUCCAUCAAGGUAAACUUGGUUGGAUUCAGAGGUGGAUUUUGCGUUCUCUGCUCUGGUAUCUUUCAACCAUCCAUCAAGGUAAACUUGGUUGGAGUUAGGUGUUGACUUUUCUUUCUCAGCUCUGAUAUCUUUCAACCAUCCAUCAAGAUAAACUUGGUUGGUGUCACCGGUAGAUUUUGCUUUCUCAGCUCGAUUAUCUUUCAACCAUCCAUCAAGGUAAACUUGGUUGGAUUCAGAGGUGUCUUUUGCUUUCUUUGCUCUGGAAUCUUUUAACCAUCCAUCAAGAUAAACUUGAUCAGAGUUCUGGGAGGAUUUGGUUUUCUCUGCUCGUGUAUCUUUCAACCAUCCAUCAAGAUAAACUUGGUUAGAGUUAGCAAUGUGUUUUUGACUCUUCAAUGGAUUUUUGAGCCAACCAUCAAGGUAAGGUUGAUCAACUUGUAUUUCUUGUACAUUCUCUUGCUGAAGUUUGAUAUAUCGGGCAAAGCUUCCUUGUCCAUUCUAUAAUACAAUUGAAUAAAUGGAUAUUAGUGAGUUAUUUUUGGAUGGUAUAUAUGAUUACAAAAACAAAAUAAUGUGUUUUAUAAGACACAUUAUGUUGCACAGGUGAGACACAUUCAUUAUAUAUUUCAGAUGGAUACAAAAUGUGAAAUAAAAAUGAAAGAAAAACAAUUUUUAAAAUUUCAUUGCGGCAUAGAAAACAUUAUUUUAUCAAAUCAAAUAGAACAACUUGAUUGUAAGUGAAUGAUGAAAUCAAAUCAAAUAAAGAUGAGAAAUGAUAGAUUGUGAUAAAUAAAUGAUGAAAAAUAUAAGUGUAAAAGAUACAAGAAUGGAUGCAAAGUUAGUAACUUACGAUCAACAAGAGCAUGAUAAAAGGGAGGAGAAACAAAACAUCUUUGUGUGUCAUUUCUUUAAUGUUAUGAUUUUGUGGGAAAAUUGUUUUAAUGUGAAAAGAUGUAUUGAAAUGGAAGUGAAUUGGGCUAUUUAUAAGUGAAUGAAAAGAAAAACUACAUUAAGGAUAUUAAGGACAUUGCGACUUUGGUUGGCAAGAUUAUUUUUUAAAUAUUUAAUUUAUUUUAUUUUUUAAAUGUUUAGUUUAAUUUAUAAGUUUAUAUGUCUAAGAAAGAUCAAUUUACUUUUUCCAAGAUCUAUUAGGUGUGUUGUUUUGAGUUAUAAAUAAAAAAUUCAAAAAAUUGUUUGUUUGGUAUCAUUUUUUUAAUUAGAAGCUCCUAACUAAAUUCUCCAGGUUUAAAAUAAAUAAAUUUUAGAAAAGCUACUGCAAUUAGUUUUUUAUUUUAAAAUUAAAAAUGAUUCUCUUAAAAACUUUAAUAAAAACCUAUUAAAAUGAUAAAGGUGAUUUUUUAAAUGUUAAACAAACAUUUAUUUUGAUAAGUUAUUUCAAAUAAUUUAAAAUUUCAUAAAUUUAUUUUAAUUUAUAAUUGAAGUGGUAAUUAUCAUAAUCUCGUCUCUUGAGUUCUAAUAUUUGAGCUAAUAGUAUAAAUAUUUUUUAGUUGAAUUAAAAUUUGCAUUAAUGAUAGUUUCAAUUUUACAAUUAAUUAAACUAAUUUAGUAGUUAAUUUUAUUAAGUGUAAUAAAUGCAAUGAAUUAAUUUAACUACAUCCCCUUUAAUUCGAGGUGGGUGUAGGUAUUCCGAGACAUUCAAAUUUGAAGACUAAUAUAUAGAUUAAAAUUAUUUAUUAAUUUAUUUAAUGGUAAUUACAUAUUACAAAAUUUCAUUUUUGGAAAAAAGUUAUUAUUUUAAUAUUUUAUAUUUUUUAAUAGUUAUUAUUUUAUAAAAUUAAUUAUAAUGAGUAUAAUAUUUUAAUUUUAUUAUCAUCAAAUAUACACGACAUCAAAAUUACCAAACAUGAAAUCUAAAUAUAGGGAUCCAAUUAAUUGAAUUGGAAUUUACAUUGUGAAUCAUGAGUCUUCUGCCACCAAUUCCUAGGGACUCACUACCUAGCAAACAAUGAAUACAAAAUAGUAUCACAAGAAACACUAAAAUACUGUGUUGACCCUUGCAUGUUUAAGAUGUUCACAUGUAGCUAGGGUUUGGGUGGUUAUGUAGUUAUGCUUACCUAAUAGUAAGACUGUGUUGACCUUUGCAUGUUUAAGAUGUUCACAUGUAGCUAGGGUUUGCGUGGUUAUGUAGUUAUGCUUAUCUAAUAGUAAGUUAAAAAAUUGUAGUUAUCUAAAAAGUAAUAAAUUAUUAUAUUGACCGGUCUAAAGAGAAGAUAGAUAAGUUANGUAGUUAAUUUUAUUAAGUGUAAUAAAUGCAAUGAAUUAAUUUAACUACAUCCCCUUUAAUUCGAGGUGGGUGUAGGUAUUCAGAGACAUUCAAAUUUGAAGACUAAUAUAUAGAUUAAAAUUAUUUAUGUUCGUCUUAUAUAUUUUUUUUUUAUAUUUUAAUAUAAAUAUUUAUUAAUUUAUUUAAUGGUAAUUAUAUAUUACAAAAUUUCAUUUUUGGAAAAAAGUUAUUAUUUUAAUAUUUUAUAUUUUUUAAUAAUUAUUAUUUUAUAAAAUUAAUUAUAAUGAGUAUAAUAUUUUAAUUUUAUUAUCAUCAAAUAUACACGACAUCAAAAUUACCAAACAUGAAAUCUAAAUAUAGGGAUCCAAUUAAUUGAAUUGGAAUUUACAUUGUGAAUCAUGAGUCUUCUGCCACCAAUUCCUAGGGACUCACUACCUAGCAAACAAUGAAUACAAAAUAGUAUCACAAGAAACACUAAAAUACUGUGUUGACCCUUGCAUGUUUAAGAUGUUCACAUGUAGCUAGGGUUUGGGUGGUUAUGUAGUUAUGCUUACCUAAUAGUAAGACUGUGUUGACCUUUGCAUGUUUAAGAUGUUCACAUGUAGCUAGGGUUUGCGUGGUUAUGUAGUUAUGCUUAUCUAAUAGUAAGUUAAAAAAUUGUAGUUAUCUAAAAAGUAAUAAAUUAUUAUAUUGACCGGUCUAAAGAGAAGAUAGAUAAGUUAUUAUAAUCAAAUAUUAUCUAAAAAACAAUAAAUUAUAAGGAAUAUAGUUUCAUUAUUUUUAUGUUUAUUUAAAAAAUAUAAAUAUUUUUUAAAUUAAUGAUAAAUAAUUGAUUUUAAAUGUGAUGAUGGUUUAUAUCUUUACAUAAGAAACUAAAUGAUAAAAUGUGAAUAUUCAUAUCUAACAUUAAAUAUUUAUCUAAAUAUGUAGGCCAGCCUCAUAUUUAUUGUAAAUUUUUUAACAAAGCUUUUAAUAAUGUAAAUUAGAAUAAUGUAGGCCAGCCUCUCUAUUUAUAUAAAAAAAAUAUUUUUUAAAAUAUUUUUAUAAUAAAAAUAUAAAAUUUGUCACAAAACAAUUUUAUUAUUUUAUUAACUAUAAAAAUAUAGGUUAUAAAUCACAUAUUUCAUUUAUAAUUCAUUAACCAGUAAAAUACGUAAUAUUAAUCAAAUUAUAAUAUUAAAAUAUGAAAUACACAAUUUGCUUAAUUAUUAAUUAUUAUAUUUUAUAUUUUAAUGUCAAAAUUUAUUGAUAUUAUUUAUUUUAUUAAUUGAAUACAGUAAUAAAUAAAAUAUAUGGUUAAUCACCUAUAUUUUUGUGAUUAAUAUAAUAAUAAAAUUAAUUAAUAACAAACUUUAUAUUUAUAUUAUAAAAAUAAUUAUAAAAAUAAAUCAAAAACGAGUUUAAGACAACAUAGGAAAAAGGGAGACUCGGAUAUCGUAUCUCAAAGACGGUUGAAUUAUUAUUAAUAUACUGGAAUCGAAUUGGGGGUUUAUAUUUGAUUCAUAAUAAAUGAUUAUGAAAAGUGAUUAUAAAAUAAGUUGAUUUAUUGAUUCGGUUCCUACCUACCAUUGAUUAUUAUAGCGCGAAUGAAAGUGUAAGAAUUAUGUUUCUUAUUUGCUGAAUUAAGCAAUCAGUUAAGAUUAAAGCGAAUUAACGGAUUAAGCAUACGUUAACACGCAAUCAAAAUUAGGGAACAAUAAAUAUUCAAAUCAAACAAAAUUACUAAGUUUGAAAUUGUACCUCAUUCAGGUCUUGGUUCAAGCAUCCCUAUGUGCAUCACAUUUAACUUUGCAUAGGCCAUGAACUCAAGUCUUUUGGUAUGGAAAAAUGCAUAGAUCCAUAUGCCCGAUUCACUUCAUUCAUAUGAUGCAGAUGAUCAAGGAUGAUUGAUCCAUUUAAGACUUAGUUCCAUUGGUUCAUUCUUUGUUGCUUAAGAAAUCUCAGGGUUUUACUAAGAAGAAAGAGGUCGAGACCAGUGUCGUGAUAGUAAAUAUCUACCCUCAAGUUCAAGCACCUAUGACUCAUGUGUCAUACUACCCUUAUCUGUACAUUGUCGCUGCUCAAUAUCAGCAACCUGCAUACCAACCGCAAUAUCAACAGCCUCCAUGGGCUCCAAUUUCUCAGAAUCAACAAAAUAGCAGAAACCAGAGUCUAGGUCAGGGCAGACGUUAUGAUAGAAAACGUCCUCAGCCUGACCAUAUCCCUGUAUCAUACACUCAGUUGUUGUCGUAUCUUGUCCAGUAAGGAGCAAUUGCGCCAAAAGAGAUUCCGCCUGCAACUCCUCCCUAAAAUCACAAGCAUAAUCCUAAUGUGUCUUGUGCAUUUCAUGUCGGAUACAUAGGGCAUUCUACAGAGGAUUGUUUGGUCCUCAAGACCAUAGUACAAGAGUUAAUUGAUCAUAAGGUUUUGUAAUUCUCUGAGGCAGGACCCAAUGUCAUAACCAACCUAUUGCCAGACCACUGUGGACAGAUAGUGAAUGCAGUUUAUGGCGAAGAUUCCUCAGAUUCAGUUGAUUCUUCAGAGAAGUACUGAUGCUAGCAAUAUCAUAUUGAUUCAAUCAUGUAUCAUUUGUAAUCUUUUCUUGUUUGUUAAUUGUUGUUCAUUUGUAAAACUUGUCUGGUUUUUCAGAUGAUAAUAAUAAUGAAAUAAGCGUGCAUGUUUUGCUUAAAUCCAUUCGUGUUCACUCAUAUUUUAUUUUAUCAGUAUCAAAUUGUUUGUCGAACAAAAUCAAAAGAGAAUGAUGAAAUUAAAAAUAUGCAAGAUCGCUGUUUGUAUGCUUUUGAAUAAGAUCAUGUUGAUGAUGCAAGGCAUUGUUCAAUCCCUAAACACCGGAGAUAUAAGGAAGAUAAUCCCUAGUCAACCCAUUUGGAUGUUGUAGUAGGAGUUUCUUUCUUUAACACAUAAAAUCCUCAUGCUUAACUAGGGGCAGGGUAUUCUUCAUUUAGUUUAGACUUGCAUUCAAAUUUCAGAAGGAGAAUAUCUCAUCCAGUGAUCAAUCAUAUCAUAUCCCUCUCAAGAGGAUGGAAUCACAAAUCCAGGAUGGUUAUCCCUUACCAUUCAAAAGGAGUGAGAUAGUCACGACCCAUGCAACAAAUCAAGAAAGUCGUGUCACACGGUUUUCUCUAGUACAAAAAGAAAAGAUGAAAAAAUUAAAAGUCCGCUAAGUCAAAAACUUGAAAACAAGAUUGACUUAUAUGUGUGUGUUUGGGGUGAGUCUGGAGAUGCACCUUCGAACUUCGAAAUGUGUGAGCUUUUUUGUAUUUUUCAUCUCAUGCCCUAGUAAUAUAUAUGGUGCAUUAAAAAAUAUCCAUAAAUUAAGGGAUUUGGUUAACACACUCUUAGGAUUGUUUUUCGACCCUUGUGAAAAAUCAAAACUACCUUUAGAAUUCAGAAAUAAAUCUUUGGACGCACCUCAAACACACACACAAUCAAUUCAUUUUUGAGUCAUGAAGUUAAUUAGGAAAUGCAUCUCCUUAAAUAUUAACGGGGGUGUAUUUUCCAAACCUAUUGAACCACACAGAAUUGCAUAAACCAAACAGAUGCAGAAAUAAAGAUAAAUCACAUUGAUAACAUGAAAAAUGAAAUAUUACAUAGAUAAUCGUUAACAUAAAUCGAACUUUGCAUUUGAACAUCAAGAUGGACGUUUCAACAUAUUUAUAAUAUCUUUUAUCGAUCUCGCAAUCAUCGCAUCCAACUUGAUCAAACAUUUUAUUUCGUAACGGUUAAAUGUAUUUCACAUAACUCUUAAAUCCGCAUCCGUCUUCAGCUUAAAGUUGUUGAACUGAAUCUACCAUUCAUUAUCAACCGAGAGUGAACCUUACUUGAGUUUCACAAUUCUUCAAUGAACUUAAAUGCAAUUGAGGACUCCGCGUAGUUGAGUCAUAUUUCAUGGAGACUCAUAAUGCGUCCAAAAAUGCAUUUCCAAAAUUUUAGUGGCAUUUUUAAAUUUUUAUAGGAUGGUUUUCCAGCACUUAUGUAGAGAUAAACAAUUUCCUUAUUAAAGGUCUCUGAGAGGAAUUGAAAUAAAUAUAUUUAAAAAAUUAGUAUUAUACUUAUUUAAGGAAUAAAGUUUUCUAACCAAAAAUUUUUCCCUAAUUUUUUUGUGCCUAAUUUUUUUGCUAACAAAAUAGAGACCUGAUUAUAUUUCACUAAUUUUCAUUCAUCUCUCAAUUAAUAUCUCUCAUAACCCUCAUUAACUCUCAAUUAAUGUAAUUCAUAUCAAUUAAUUGUUUUUUGAAAAUUUUGUAUCCGGCUUCGGACCAACUAGUUUAGUGAAUUGCUAAUUUCAUCUUUAAGUGUUGGAAAAAUACCUUAUAAAAAUUUGAAAAUACUCUUCUGAUUCCAAAAAUGCAUCUUCGGACGCAACUUGCACCUCACCAAAACACGCUUCAACUUGUUGAUGUUUUUUAUGUAAUUCAAGUGGUGUAACUGGUUACCUCAUGUGGUGUAAACGGUUACCACUAAAGUUGAUUUAAUUCAAUAUCAGAUGUAACCGAUUAUCCACUUUUGUGUAACGAUUACAAGCUUAAUAUUUUGAUUUUUUCUGAUAUUUUACUUGGUCAAUUCAGUUCCCAAUUGUGUUGUAUCUCUUGUAUAAGUGUUUAGAAUGUACACUCAUCUAAGGUUAAUGCAAUAAUAAUCUCUCAUCCUCAAUUCUCCUCUUUCACACUCCACAUCCAAAGUAUCUCCACCAUUAUUCACCAAACUUGUGGUGUCCUGUUCCAACAUUUGACAUCAAGAGUCUGGUUCAGAUCCACAAACACUUAGUGUGCAACAUGAAUUAUGUUUCCAAUGAAAAAAUCCCUCCAAACCUACCUAUCCUUGAUGCGAAGAAUUAUGAUAAAUGGUACAAGGAAAUGAAGAUGUUGUUUGGCUACCAAGAUGUUCUUACAGUAACUCUUAAGAGAAAAUAGUUGUCCCUGACCUACUUUGAGUCUCCGUAGGGAAAUUGGACUGGCAAAGAGGGUAGAAGGAGGAAACUACUCAAGUGAGCUUGAAGCAACAAAGGCAGUGAGUUUAGUUCCCACGCGGGGAAGAACGUUUAUAACAAGAGCCAGGAAGAUAAAUUAUUUUAUAAUACCUUCUCAAAAGUAAAAUGAGCUAUGAGAAAGAGCAAGAAUCUCAAGCGAUUGGCUGAACUUAACCUAGCUCGAGCUACAUGGCGGUUGAUCAAGGGAUACCGGAAAGAGGCAAACAACAGAACCUCCGGGUUUGAAGCUUUUCAUGUCGGGGCGAGGUCAAUCAAGGGUUUUGGGUCAGUGAAAGCUCGAGUGCCCCCUUCAAAAGUAAGGUGUCGGGAAUGCAACCAGUGAGGUGACCCGUUCCGUUAGGGCGGAUGAAAGAAGUUAUCCUGAAGCAGCGUCAAAGGCCUCUGUAGGCCCUUCAACAGGAUUUUUUGUCGUGUAGCAUUCUGUUUUGGCUACUCACGAAACUCUUUAUCCUUAAUAGGAAGAACUCCCUUUAGAGGAAGGAUACAAAGACCAAGCCUGUCUUUCUCUCUUAAAAAGGGCAUAUGGGGCAGGGCAGAAAGACUAUUUUAGGGGACUAAUCUGCUAAUGAAUGAAGGAAGGAGAAGGCCUUAAUUGUCUAUCCAAAGGUCCGCCUUGGGUGGAUUUAGGCGAAUCAAGUGGGUGGGAAUGAUCCGAGCCCCCUAUGUAAAUUUCAGUAAGGUAACUAAGGUUUACAAUAAUUCAUUUCAGUAGUGCGUUACCUUGCAGCUCUAUCUAUCGGGUAGUCAGUCUCUUGGUCAAAAGCCGGUACCUAAUUCCCCUGCUGGUGGGCCGAUCCUCGUCUAGCGGUGGGAACCGGCUGGUAUGGAUCAAUUGCUUGCCCUGUCUCUCUUCUGUUCAACCAUCGAGAAUCCGCAGUUAUCUUUGCUCAUUGGGUGGGCGAAGGAAUCCUUUCUAUUGAAUAAGGGCUUUGAGAAGCAGGCCAUUCCGUUCCAGUUAGCACCGUAUCCCGCUUUUCCGAUAGCAAAGGGCCUUCUAAUUAGCGUGCUUUGCUUAACCCGGCAAGAUCCGAGAUCAGACCUAGUCCUGCUGACCCGCUACCCUUGAAAACAUACUUUUUGCCACCUUACGACUGGUGUGAAGGAACUUAUUGCACAUAUUUAACAUGGGGAAGGAAAGAGGAGGGAAUAAAGCAUAUUUUAGGCAUCGANUUAAGAAAUGUCCAUGAAUUAAGGGAUUUGGUUAACGCACUCUUAGGGUUGUUUUUCGACCCUCGUGAAAAAUCAAAACUACCUUUAGAAUUCAGAAAUAAAUCUUUGGACGCACCUCAAACACACAUAAUCUGUUCAUUUUGUAGUCAUGAAUUUAAUUCGGAAAUGCAUCUCCUUAAAUAUUUAUGGAGGUGUAUUUUCAGAACCUACUUAACCACAAAGAAUUUCAUAAACCAAACAGAUGCAGAAACAAAGAUAAAUCACAUUGAUAACAUUGAAAAAUGAAAUAUUACAUAGAUAAUCGUUAACAUAAAUCGAACAUUAUAUUUGAACAUUAAGAUGGACGUUUCAACAUCUUUAUAAUAUCUUUUAUCGAUCUCGCAAUCAUCGCAUCCAACUUGAUCAAAUAUUUUGUUUCGUAACGGUUAAAUGUAUUUCAGAUAACUCUUAAAUCUGCAUUCGUCUUCAGCUUAAAAUUGUUGAAAUGAAUCUUCGAUUCAUUAUCAAUCGAGAGUGAACCGUACUUGAGUUUUGUAAGAACAAAAAUAGUUCUACAAUAGAUUCCAUGAUUUUGAUGAUAACAAAGGAUGAAACCAAAAAUGGCACCCUAACGAAAAGUUUCUAAGUGUGCAGGGUUCUAAAGAAAGAAGAAAUAAAUCUGAUGAUGUCAUCAGAUGCAAAACAAGAUCAGAUGUAAAAUCUCAAGUAUCAGAAGCAUCUAAAGAGGAAUCUCAUUCAAGAAGCUCUGACUCUGGACAAAACUACAAAGUAUCAGAAGCAUCUGAACAUGAAGUAAAGUCUAGAAGCUCUGACUCUGAACAAAUGCCUUCUGUAAAUUCUGAAGUUAUCAGCGCCAUCUGAACUUUCAAGAGAUAACAUCAGAAGCCAGUUUCUCCAGAUACACAAAGACUCUAAUCAGAAUUGUUAAUCAUGAUGAAGUAACGUUUAAGCCAAGUUAAAGUUCUGCAAAUGGAUUUCCUCAAUUAGAAAGAGACGUUAAUCUCCACUUCCAAGAGAGAAGAUACUAAUUGUGGUAAGUAGUCACUUCUAAGAGAAAAAGUCUACUGCAGAAGCUAUUAAUGGAAUGGCGUAACUACAUCUCAAUAUCCAACAGAUUCAACGCUACUUCAACUCUACUUCAACUCCUAUAAAUAGAGAAGAAAUCUCAUUCAGUAAGAAAGAAAUCACUAGCCAAAACUAUACUGAAAUUAUAUCACGCUCAAGAAAAACAUCUUUGUUCUUCAAAGAUUUUCACUAAGCUUUUGCUUAUCAAGUGAAAAAUUUGUUCUUAAGUUUGUAAUAUUUGCUUUCUUAGAAGCACUCUAGAUUACACAUCUUGUAUCUAAUUUUUAUUUGAUUUCCUCAAGUGACUCUUUGUAGUCUGUAGACUUGAGAGGACUAAGAGAUUUUCUUCUCUCUUAGGGGUUGUUUGUAAUCUUUCAAGAUUAGUGGAUUAAGUCCUUGUUGAAGGCGAAAUCACCUUGGCCGGGUGGACUGGAGUAGCUUUGUGUUAUAAGCGAACCAGUAUAAAAUCAUUGUGUGAUUUUCUUUUGCAAAAGCGCUUAUUUUUCAAACAAUUCAAACCCCCCCUUUCUUGUUUUUCUCACCUUCAAUUGGUAUCAGAGCUCCGGCUCUGUUAUUGAUUUUCAAAUCAAACACUUAACCGUGUAGAGAGAUCCAGUGCGAGAAAAACAAAUGGCCCACUCAAAUGAGAAAGAUUCUUACAAUGCCAAGCCUCCUGUUUUUGAUGGAGAAAAGUUUGAUUACUGGAAAGAUAGAAUCGAAAGUUUCUUUCUGGGUUAUGAUGCUGACCUCUGGGACAUUGUCACAGAUGGAUACAAACCUCCAACCUUAAAUGGAGCUGAAGUUCCCAGAAGCAAAAUGUCAGAAGAUCAGAAACGUGAGUUCAAAAAUCAUCACAAGGCCAGAACAAUACUUCUAAAUGCUAUAUCAUACAACGAAUACGAAAAGAUCACCAACAGAGAGACGGCUAAAGAUAUACUUGACUCUCUGAAGAUGACCCAUGAAGGAAACUCCCAAGUCAAGGAGACGAAGGCUCUGGCGUUGAUCCAGAAAUAUGAAGCCUUCAAGAUGGAAGAUGACGAAGCUAUAGAAGCUAUGUUUUCCAGAUUCCAAACUCUUAUUGCAGGUCUUAAAGUGCUAGACAAAGGAUACACGACUGCAGAUCAUGUUAAGAAGAUUGUCAGAAGUCUGCCAAAGAAAUGGAGACCUAUGGUUACUGCUCUGAAGUUAUCAAAGGAUCUGAACAGUAUCAGCCUUGAAGAACUUGUUAGUUCUCUCAGAAGCCAUGAGAUAGAACUAGAGGAGGAUGAGCCUCAGAAAAGGAACAAGUCAGUGGCGCUGAAGUCCAGACCUGAAAGACGGAAGUCAGACAGAACCAAAGCUCUCCAGGCAGAAACUGCAGAUACUGACGACUCUGAACCUGAAGACUCUGAUGAUGAAGAAGAACUGUCCUUACUAACCAGAAGAGUUAAGCAACUCUGGAAAAGAAGGAACAACAACAACUUCAGAAGAUCAAGACCCAGAGGGGAUAGAUCAGAGUCAACUUCAAAAGGUAAACCUAAUAAAGAUAUUACCUGUUUUGAAUGUAAAGAAACAGGUCAUUAUAGAAAUGAAUGCCCCAAGCUGAAGAAAGAUAACUCUAAGAAAGAAAGCUUCAAGAAAAAUGCCUUCAGAACAAAGAAGGGAUUAAUGGCCACCUGGGACGAUAGUGAAUCAGGAUCAUCAGAAUCUGACUCUGAUGAACAAGCCAACGUAGCAUUUAUGGCUACCACAUCCAGCAGCUCAGAUGAAGAAUCUGAAGAGGUAUUUUCUGAACUUUCUAGAUCUGACUUAGAAUCAUGUUUAUCAGAAACUCUUACCUCUCUUCAGAAAUUAAAACAAAAAGUUAAAAGCAUUAAAGGCCUUCUUAAAGCAAAAUCUGAAGAAUGUAGUGAACUUGAGACAACAAUUCUAGCACAUGAAGAUACAAUCAAAUCUUUAACGUUAGAAAGAGAUGGAGCUAAAACAAAAAGCUUAAAAUUAGAAGAAGCGUUGUCUCAAGCACCACAAACUUCAAAUGAAAUUAUUUAUAAAUAUGAAGAAGCCUUUCAGAAGUUUCUGAAGAGUGGAAUAGAUAGGAGUAUUAUGGCAUCCAUGAUUUAUGGAGUAAGUCAGAAUAAUAAAAGGGGAAUUGGGUAUGAUUCUGAUUCUGAUAAAACUUCUACCAGUAACCAAAUUAAAUCACCUUUUUCAUACCACUAUACACACACACAAGAACACAAAUUUAAAAAUGCUAGAAGACCCAAAGUUGUAAGAAACUCUGGGAAAACUAAUCUGAAAGGACCCAAGAGAUUCUGGGUACCGAAAGAUAAGAUUAUCUAUGUUGCAGAUAUCCUAUGCAGCAAAGUUCAGACACCAGUCAUGGUACCUGGACUCUGGAUGCUCGCGACAUAUGACGGGAAGAAAGUCUAUGUUCCAAAGCCUGGAACUUAAAGACGCUGGCUUUGUAGGCUUCGGAGGAGAUCAGAAAGGAAGGAUCAGAGGCUCCGGAACUAUUGGUAAUGGUACUCUUCCCUCUAUAUCUGAUGUUCUUUAUGUAGAAGGAUUAAUGCAUAACUUGUUAUCCAUAAGUCAAUUAAGUGAUAACGGUUAUGAUGUAAUCUUUAAUCAAAAAACGUGUAAAGCCAUUAAUCAGAACGAUGGCUCUGUCCUUUUCACAGGCAAGAGGAAAAACAACAUUUAUAAAAUAAAUCUUUCUGAUUUAAAAGAUCAAAAUGUUAAAUGUUUAAUGUCAGUUCACGAAGAGCAAUGGGUAUGGCAUAGACGCUUAGGCCACAUUAGCAUGAGAAAACUUUCUCAGCUAACUAAACUUGAGUUAGUCAGAGGCUUACCUAAACUGAAGUUUUCUUCAGAUGCUCUGUGUGAAGCUUGUCAGAAAGGAAAGUUUUCAAAAACAUCUUUUAAAAAGAAAAAUGUUGUUUCUACCUCCAAGCCUCUGGAGCUUCUUCACAUUGACUUAUUUGGUCCUGUGAAAACAGCAUCAGUCAAUGGAAAGAAGUAUGGACUAGUAAUCGUUGAUGAUUACAGCCGCUGGACAUGGGUAAAAUUCCUAAAGCACAAGAGUGAGUCUCACUCUGUAUUCACCAGUUUCUGUUCUAAAGUGCAAAAAGAAUUUGACUCUAAAAUUGUUAGAGUCAGAAGUGAUCAUGGUGGAGAAUUUGAAAAUAAAGAUUUUGAAGAAUUAUUUGAUUCUAAUGGAAUAUCCCAUGAUUUCUCCUGCCCUAGAACUCCACAACAAAAUGGAGUUGUAGAGAGGAAGAAUAGGACACUCCAAGAAAUGGCCAGAACCAUGAUCAAUGAAACAAAUGUAGCAAAGCACUUUUGGGCAGAAGCUGUAAAUACAGCGUGUUACAUUCAGAAUAGAAUCUCUAUUAGACCUAUUCUGGAUAAGACUCCCUAUGAACUGUGUAAGGGAAGAAAACCCAACAUUUCAUAUUUUCAUCCUUUUGGAUGCAUUUGCUUUAUAUUAAAUACUAAAGAACAUCUGAACAAGUUUGAUUCCAAAGCACAGAAAGGUAUUAUGUUAGGAUACUCAGAACGCUCUAAAGGCUACAGAGUAUACAACACAGAAACCAAAAUUGUGGAGGAAUCAAUUCAUGUUAGAUUUGAUGAUAAGCUUGACCCUGAAAAGUCAAAGCUAGUUGAAAAGUUUGCAGAUUUAGAGAUCACUCUGGUAGAAUCUGAGAAAACUCCAGAAGCAACUGUCACUCCAGACUCUGAAGAAAUUAAAUCUCCAGAAAUUCCAAGGAAAGUCAAGAGUCGUAGCAACGUAUCUGAAGAUUUGAUUUUGGGAAACAAAGAUGAACCUGUUAGAACCAGAUCUACCUUCAGAACUUCUGAAGAUAUUCCUCUGGGACUAGUGUCUCUGAUUGAGCCUACGUCCUGUGAUGAAGCUCUUCAAGAUAACGAUUGGGUGGCAGCUAUGCAAGAAGAGUUAGAUCAAUUCUCCAAGAAUGAUGUCUGGGAUCUCGUUCCUAAACCCAGAGGCACUCAUGUCAUUGGAACCAGAUGGGUUUUCAGAAACAAACUGAACGAGAAAGGAGAAGUUGUCAGAAACAAAGCACGACUGGUAGCUCAAGGUUAUAGUCAACAAGAAGGUAUUGAUUAUAAUGAAACUUUUGCUCCAGUCGCAAGGUUAGAAUCUAUUCGUCUUCUUGUAUCUUUUGCUAUUAAUCACUCUAUCAAAUUAUACCAAAUGGAUGUCAAGAGUGCAUUUCUUAAUGGUUAUAUUUCAGAAGAAGUGUAUGUCAAUCAACCUCCAGGUUUUGAAAAUUCAAACUUUCCAGAACAUGUUUUCAAACUUAAGAAAUCCUUAUAUGGACUUAAACAAGCUCCCAGAGCUUGGUAUGAACGCUUAAGUAAUUUUCUUCUGGAACAAAAUUUUAUCAGAGGGAAAGUUGAUUCUACACUCUUCUGUAAAAAUCAUAAAAAUGAUCUCAUGAUAUGCCAAAUUUAUGUUGAUGACAUUAUUUUUGGUUCUGCUAAUAUCUCUGUUUGCCAAGAAUUUUCUAAGUUAAUGCAGGCAGAAUUUGAAAUGAGUCUAAUGCAAGAACUAAAGUUCUUUCUGGGAAUUCAAAUUAAUCAAACUCCAGAAGUCACGUACAUUCAUCAAAGCAAGUACAUUAAAGACGUUCUGAAGAAGUUUGAUAUGUCUGAAUGCAACUCUGCAAAGACUCCUAUGCACCCAACUUGCAUUCUGGAAAAGGAAGAGGUAAGCAACAAGGUUUGUCAGAAGCUCUAUCGAGGUAUGAUAGGCUCUCUUCUCUAUCUGACUGCUACUCGUCCUGAUAUUCUCUUUAGCGUCUGUCUUUGUGCCAGAUUCCAAUCAGAUCCUAGAGAAUCUCAUUUAACAGCUGUUAAGAGAAUUCUUAAGUAUCUGAAAGGAACUCCUAACCUGGGCCUGAUGUAUGAGAAAACAUCAGAGUAUAGGCUUUCUGGUUAUUGUGAUGCAGAUUAUGCAGGAGAUAGAAUAGAACGAAAAAGCACAUCUGGAAAUUGCCAGCUUCUGGGAAACAAUCUAAUCUCCUGGGCUAGCAAAAGACAGUCAACUAUCGCUCUAUCAACUGCAGAAGCAGAAUAUAUCUCAGCAUCACUGUGCACAACUCAGAUGCUCUGGAUGAAACAUCAGCUAGAAGAUCUUCAAAUCUUUGAGAGUAACAUUCCUAUCCUUUGUGAUAAUACUGCUGCUAUUUGUUUGAGUAAGAAUCCUAUUUUACAUUCCAGAGCCAAACACAUAGAAAUUAAACAUCAUUUUAUUAGAGACUAUGUUCAGAAAGGAAUAGUAACGCUGAAGUUCAUUGAUACAGAACAUCAAUGGGCAGAUAUCUUUACUAAGCCUCUAGCUGAAGAUAGAUUUCUUUUCAUCUUAGAAAAUCUGAACAUUAAAAAUUGUCCUGAGUAAAAUUUGGCUCUGAACAUGUAAAAUGAGACUCUGAUAAAAACAAAUACACUUCUGCCUCUGACUCUGAUACUUCUACCAAGUUAAGAAGAUAUCUGAGUUAGAAAUCUUCAGAAAUCCUUUGGUAUUCCUGAAGAUCAGAUACAUCAACACGUGGGGAACAUGCGUCUAACCCUAGAACUUCUAGACAGCUGUCAAAAGAAAUCAAAGGUCAGAACGCUUGAAAUCUCCUCGAGCAGUGUGCUUACUGUUGGGAUUAGACAUUCAUUAAUUAGCUAUAAUCAUUUUUCCCCCAAACGUGCUAUUUUGGUUUUUGUGCUAACGCUGGUAUGUGUGUCGUUUUGCAUGUGUUUUUACCCUUAGUAUAUAAACACUUUCUCUCACUUUUCACACUUAUCACUCUCACUCACUCUAAAACCCUAAACCCUUCUCUGAAAGUUCUCUGCAAGUUCUUCAUCUUCUUCAAUCUCCAUCAUCUUCAUCAACAUGGACGCUCAACAACAAGAACUCUUCAACCAUUCUCAACAAGUGGAAUCUAGUUCCAAUCCCCAAACCUCAAACACUCAAACACCCACGGUUAUAAGCGUCACCACAACCCCAGUUUACAAAGAACCUCACAUUCUUGACCGUGAACAACACAUUCAUCUUUCAACUCCCUUUGAAGGUUUGGAUGUACUGUGUGAAUCGCUGGUGGAUUUUGAGAAUUUGAGAAGAAAUGGCGUUGAUUUAACUGAAGAUCUUCGCAAGCAAGGUUGGGAAACCUACUUCAACAGAUUGUAUGGUCCAAUCUAUCCUCUUCUGGUGAAAGAAUUCUGGAGAUGUGCAGAUGCUGAUGAUGAGUUCAUUGUUUCUUUUGUUCUGGGAGUGAAGAUCAUCAUCACAGAAGCAUCUAUUGCCUCUUUGCUGAACAUGGAGAGAACUGGAGGUAAAAGGAUUUACAACAUUCCUCCAAGGUCCAAGCGCAUCACAGAAGUCAUUAACCCUACAAUCUUCAAAGCAAAUGUUGAAGGAAACCCAUCUAAGAACAAGGAGCUUCAUCAGAACCUCCGAGUUUGGCUGAAGAUUAUUCUGGGAACAAUCCAUCAUCGUCCAGCCUCCAACUCUUCAGAUUAUAUAAAUGCUGAUCAGAAAUGCAUCCUCUACUGUAUUCAGAAGGGUAUUCCAAUCAACCUCCCUGUUCUCCUCUUCAGAUAUCUGAGGGAUUCAGUCAGAGAAACAAGGAAUAAUAUGAAGCCCAGAUCCUACAUUCCUCUGGGAAGAUUGCUCUCUGACAUCUUCAUUGAGCAUGGGCUGGUAGAUGCUCUGGAGAAGACCAGAUGUAUGGAUGAUCUGGCAAUUGACGUUGGAAAGCCUCUGAAUGCCAAAAAUCUGAGGAGUAUGGGAAUCAUCAAAGACAUCAGAGUCAAGCCCACUAUGAAUGUAACCUGGGAAGCUCUGAAGGAUCAGAGGAAGAUGCCUCAUGGCCUUGAAAGGUUCUUCAAGAAUGAACCCAGAGAUGCCAUUGCUAUCUACCUUCAGGAUCGUCUGGAUGAAGGCAUUGAUAUCUCUGAUUUCCGCCUUGAAGACUGUCUGGACUCUGUAGAAGAUCUGGUCAGAUACAAAAGAGGUCUUUCUGAGAAGAAGAUAGCUGAGGAAGCAAGGAAGGCAAAGAAAGCCAGACUUGGAGAAACCUCUGGCACCAAAGCUUCAGCACCUCUGAAUGUCUCCUCUGGUAAGUCCAUUCCUCCUGUCUCUUCUGAAUCUGUAAUGGCUUCCUCUAACCCUCUCUCCUCUCAACCAAUAUAUACCACCGCUGAAAUACCACCUUCAACCAUCAGAACCUCUCAACCUCCACCUGUUCUAAAAAUUGCUCGUAAUUUCACAACAACCUCUGACCCUAAUCAACUAUAUCACCACAGCUCUUCCUCAUCCUCUGAAUAUGAAUCACCCCCUUACCUUUCCCCUUCUUCUGACCAAGAGUUCUCUGAACAAGAGUCCUCUGACCAAGAACACUCUGACCCAAACUCCCCAACAAUAGCUGAAAUUUAUGCUAAAAAUUUCGCUCCACAACCCUCAAGACAAUCUGAAGUAACCUCUCCCCUCCAAACUUCACUUCCACCACAACAAACAACAACCUUACCCUCUGAAACUCAACCAUCUGAUCCCUUCACCUCUAAUAUCACUCCACCAUUUAUUCCCGCUGUACCUGGACCAGACUCUGACCCUUUAGACCUAAAUCCACUAUAUGCUUCAUCCCCUAGUCUUCAACCAGACGCAGAUUCUGAACUUCAAGCAGAAUCUGAACCUCAACAAACUGAACCUCAACCUCUAAAUCUCAGCCCUCAAAACUCUCCACCUCAUUCACCUGAACCUGAACCUGAACUUACCAUACCUACCCUUGAGGAGGCCAUUAUACAGGUUGCAGAAGCUUCAGUCCAGAAGAUCAAGUCUCUGGCUAAAAACUCUGAAGUUAGUGAUGAUCCUAAAUCUGUUAGGACACACUGGAACAGAGUCAUUAGUUGGAUGACCUCUGAGUCUUAUAGGCUGAAGAGUAUCUCUGAACAAGUCAGAAAUGGCUACAUCAGAGACUCUGAGGAAAGACUCCAAGAGAGACUGGCUAGAGAAGCUGAGGCCAGAAGGUUAGAGGAAGAGAGACUGGCUAGAGAAGCUGAGGCCAAGAGAUUAGAGGAAGAAAGAUUGGCUAGGGAAGCUGAAGAAGAAGCUAAGAGGUUGGAAGAAGAACGCCUGGCAAAGGAAGCAGAACUUCUAAGGAUUCAGGAAGCUGAAGCCAAGGCUAAGGCAGAUGCAGAAGCCCAAGCUGCUGCUGAAGCUGAAGCUCAGCAGGCUCUGAUUCAGGGGGAGUCUUCCUCUGCGAUCCCUCUGAUUCUUAACACUCUGAAGGAGAUCAAGCAAGAUCAGAAAGAGAUCAAGCAAGAUCAGAGUGAGCUCCGGGCAAGGAUGGACAAGCAAGACGCUCUGAAUGAAAACCUCCAGAAUAUGUUUGCUAUGCUACUACAGAGACUUCCUCCUCCUCCAAACCCUUAGGCACUUAGGAUUUCUUUUGUUUGCCUAGUGUUUUUGCUUCUGUCUUUUCUUUUUUUUCUCUGAUAUUUCUGUUGAAUCUGAUGUUUUGACUGCUGCUUGCCUUUGUGCUUUUGUUUAAUGAAGUGUUUUUCUCUCUAUUAUUUUUUUUAUGUUUUAUGCCUUUUUGAUUAUGCCAAAAAGGGGGAGAAAUUAUUAAAUAGCUCUGAUGAAAAUUAUGUCUAAAACCUUAAGCAUUCUGCAACAAUUAUAGAAAUAGUUCUGAUAUAAAUAGCUCUGAUUAAAUAAUAGCUCUGAUUAAAUAACUCUAACAUUAAAAUUAAGAAAUUGCAGAAAGUUUUCAGAAAUCUCAUUGCUUGGAAAGCUCUGGUAAGAACUUCUGAACUCCCUAGUACUAACUCAGGGGGAGCUUUUGUCUAUCUGAUCUAAUAUUUUUCAUGUUUCAUCUGAUAAUUUUAUUUGUUUUGUCAUCAUCAAAAAGGGGGAGAUUGUAAGAACAAAAAUUGUUCUACAACAGAUUCCAUGAUUUUGAUGAUAACAAAGGAUGAAACCAAAAAUGGCACCCUAACGAAAAGUUUCUAAGUGUGCAGGGUUCUAAAGAAAGAAGAAAUAAAUCUGAUGAUGUCAUCAGAUGCAAAACAAGAUCAGAUGCAAAAUCUCAAGUAUCAGAAGCAUCUAAAGAGGAAUCUCGUUUCAAGAAGCUCUGACUCUGGACAAAACUACAAAGUAUCAGAAGCAUCUGAACAUGAAGUAAAGUCUAGAAGCUCUGACUCUGAACAAAUGCCUUCUGUAAAUUCUGAAGUUAUCAGCGCCAUCUGAACUUUCAAGAGAUAACAUCAGAAGCCAGUUUCUCCAGAUACACAAAGACUCUAAUCAGAAUUGUUAAUCAUGAUGAAGUAACGUUUAAGCCAAGUUAAAGUUCUGCAAAUGGAUUUCCUCAAUUAGAAAGAGACGUUAAUCUCCACUUCCAAGAGAGAAGAUACUAAUUGUGGUAAGUAGUCACUUCUAAGAGAAAAAGUCUACUGCAGAAGCUAUUAAUGGAAUGGCGUAACUACAUCUCAAUAUCCAACAGAUUCAACGCUACUUCAACUCUACUUCAACUCCUAUAAAUAGAGAAGAAAUCUCAUUCAGUAAACACGAAGAAAUCACUAGCCAAAACUAUACUGAAAUCAUAUCACGCUCAAGAAAAACAUCUUUGUUCUUCAAAGAUUUUCACUAAGCUUUUGCUUAUCAAGUGAAAAAUUUGUUCUUAAGUUUGUAAUAUUUGCUUUCUUAGAAGCACUCUAGAUUACACAUCUUGUAUCUAAUUUUUAUUUGAUUUCCUCAAGUGACUCUUUGUAGUCUGUAGACUUGAGAGGACUAAGAGAUUUUCUUCUCUCUUAGGGGUUGUUUGUAAUCUUUCAAGAUUAGUGGAUUAAGUCCUUGUUGAAGGCGAAAUCACCUUGGCCGGGUGGACUGGAGUAGCUUUGUGUUAUAAGCGAACCAGUAUAAAAUCUUUGUGUGAUUUCAUUUUGCAAAAGCGCUUAUUUUUCAAACAAUUCAAACCCCCCUUUCUUGUUUUUCUCACCUUCAAGUUUCACAAUUCUUUGAUGAACUAAAAUGCAAUUGAGGACUCCGCGUCUUUGAGUCAUAAAUCAUGGAGACUCAUAAUGCGUCCAAAAAUGCAUAUCCAAAAUUUAAGUGGCAUUUUCAAAUUUUUAUAGGAUGGUUUUCCAACACUUAUGUAGAGAUAAACAAUUUCGUAAUUAAAGGUCUCUAAGAGGAGUUGAAAUAAAUAUAUUUAAAAAAUUAGUAACAUAAUUAUUUAAGGAAUAAAGUUUUCUAACCAAAAGAAUUUUUCCCUAAUUUUUUUGUGCCUAAUUUAUUUUGCUAACAAAGUAAAGCCCUGAUUAUUGUUACUAAAUUUUAGUAAUUUUCAUUCAUCUCUCAAUUAAUAUCUCUUAUAAUCCUCAUUAACUCUCAAUUAAUGUAAUUCAUAUCUAUCAAAAAAAAUUGAAAAUUUUGUAUCUAGGCUUGGGACCAACUAGUUUAGUGAAUUGCUAAUUUCAUCUUAAGUGUUGGAAAUAUGCCCUAUAAAAUUUUGAAAAUACCCUUUUGAAUCCGAAAAUGCAUCUUCGAACGCACCUUACGCCUCACUAAAACACACCUCAACUUGUUGAUGUUUUUUAUGUAAUUCAAGUGAUGUAACCAGUUAUCUCGGGUAGGUAACCGGUUACAUAAAUGUCUAAAGUUCAAUCAAGUAGCAAAAAUGUGGAGUUUUUGAAGGUGUAACCGGUUAACCAUUUUGGUGUAAACGGUUACCACAAAAGCUGAUUUAAUUCAAUGUCAGGUGUAACCGAUUAUCCAUUUUUGUGUAACAUUACAAGCGUAAUAUUUUGAUUUUUCCUGCUAUUUUACUUGGUCAAUUCAGUUCCCAAUUGUGUUGUAUCUCUUGUAUAAGUGUUUAGAAUGCACACUCAUCUAAGGUUAAUGCAAUAAUAAUCUCUCCCCCUUAAUUCUCCUCUUUCACACUCCACAUCCAAAGUAUCUCCAUCAUUGUUCACCAAACUUGUGGUCUCUUGUUCCAAAAUUUGACAUCAAGAGUCUGGUUCAGAUCCACAAACACCUAGUGUGCAACAUGAAUUAUGUUUCCAAUGAAAGAAUUCCUGCAAACCUACCUAUCUUUGAUGCGAAGAAUUAGGAUAAACGGUGCAAGGAAAUGAAGAUGUUGUUUGGAUACCAAGAUGUUCUUAAAGUAAUCAAUAAGGAUGUUACUCCUCUUAUUCAAAAUGAAACAGAGGCGCAACAAGCAACACAUAAGGAAGAGAAGAAGAAAUAGUUCAAUGUGUUGAUGGCGAUGAUUUUAAGAAAGUUGAUGAUUGUGAAUCGUCAAAGUAAGCGUGAGAGAUCUUAGAGAAGGCAUGUGCAUGGGUUGACAAGGAAAAGGUGGUGAGGUUACAAACUCAUAAACGUCAGUUUGAAUUGAUUCAAAUGGAGGAAAAGGAGAUAAUCAAUGAUUUUGCAAUGAGAAUCACUCGGUUGGUGAAUCAAGUGAAGGCAUGCAAAGAAACUGUUACGGAGUUGUAUGUUGCUGCUAAAAUCUUGUGUUCUUUAACACCAAGAUUUAACAGUAUAGUUGUGGCAAUUGAUGAGUCAAAGGAUCCCGCGACGAUGAGCAAAGAGGAGUUGCAAAGUUCUCUUGAGGCUCAUGAGAAAAAGAUGGAAAAGAGGAAUAACGAUAAGGCAAAGGCGGAGAUUGCUUUGCAAGCUCGUUUCAAUGAGAAGGACAAGAGAUCGAAAGGAAAAUGGCCCAAGAAAAGAAAAGGGAAUUUUCAUAAUUUGGGUGGAAGAGAGUCCUAAAAUUCAAAUGAUUUGACUUGUCAAAGGGGUGAGAGCAGCUACAAUAAACAUGGUGGUCAAGGAAACUUUAGAGGUAGAAGGAAGAAGUUUGAUAAGAGCAAGGAGAUGUGCUAUAAGUGUCAAUGGUUCGUUCAUUUUGCAAAAAAAUACAAUGUGAACAAGAAAGAAUCUCAAGGGAUUAAACCAAGGUUGCAAGAUAAGAGUUUGAUGAAGAGAAUAUAAUUUUGGUCAUGAUCAAAGAAGGGAAUUAUAGCAGCAAACAACUGUGGGACAACAGCGGCAAUAAAUCAAAGAAUGCUAAAAAGGUCGGUUGAAUGAUACGAUUAACCGAUCGCAUGAAGAGGAAGAUACCAUGAUGAGUUUGAAAGGAGUUCAAUGUAGUGAUGAGUGGUAUUUGGACUUGGGUUGUUCAGCUCAUAUGACAGGAAUAAAGGAUUGGUGUGUCAAAAUCAAUCGUGCCAUGAAGAAUAAACUAAAGUUUGCAGAUGAAACCACCCUAAUGAUCGAUGGGAUCGAUGAUGUUUUGAUCAUGAGAAGGGAUAAUGGACAUUACUUAAUCACAAAUUCUUGUACAUUUUUGGAAUCAAAUUUAACCUUCUAAGUAUUGGCCAAUUGCUUGAGAAGGAUUCCAAGAUUCACAUGGAAGACAAUGGGUUGUGCGUUAUGGAUAUAAGAGGAGGCUUGGUCCUUAAAGCGCAUAUGGCUGCCAAUAGAACCUUUAAGGUUGAGUUGAAGGUUAUAGAGUAUAAAUGUCUUGCUACUACAUCAAGUAGACAACAGUGGAUAUGGCACUAUCGUCUUAGACAUCUCAAUUUUAGAGAUCUCAAAGACUUUCAAAAGAACAUAAUGGUAACAGGGCUGCCAUUGAUCAACAUACUAGCUGAAAUUUGUGAAGAAUGUGUGCAAGUGAAGCAACAUAAGGGAAAAUUGAGCAAGUAGACUCUAUUGGUGGAAAUAUGUAUUUUGUCACAUUUAUCGAUGAUCAUAGUACAAAACUAUGGACAUACCUAAUCAAGAUAGAUGACAAUGUAUUUCAUGAUCGUCCGUCAUUGCAUAUAUUUAGUCGAAGAAUCAGACAAAACAAGUGAAAGUUAAGAUAAAAUGAAGAAGAAUAAGGAAAAAAUAUCUAAGCAUGGAAACUGGGGACUUAUUGAAAUUUUGAGUAAAAAAGGGAGCAAAAGUGUGCAACCACUGGAAUAAUCAUGCGCACCAUCACGUAGCAUCGUGCACACAAUGGGGUCUUUAAAGUUGCAUCGCGCAUGCGAUACAAGGAAUCACGCGCGUGAUAAAUACUUUUUAUGGGCUUUUCAGACGCGUUCUGGUCCAUUCUAACGCCUUUAAAAGGGGAUUUUCUGAACUUUCACAAGAGUUACAAAAUUGGGAGAUCUAGGCACUACUUUGAGAGCACAAGUGGUGAUUUUUAUAACAUUAGAAGUUAUUGGAGACCAUUACUUCAACGUAUUUCACAUGUUAUUUUCAUCUAUCAAUUAUGAUAUUUUUAAUUGCAUUAUGAGUAGCUAAGCUCCUCUAGAUUAGGUUGUAUACUGAUGAACCUAUUUCUAUAUUGUUGGAAUCUAUGUUGAUUUAACAAUUGUGUGAACCUUUUGAACUAUAAUUCCAUUCAAUUGCUUCUUGUUCAUAAUGCUUUUUAUGUGAGAUGAUAUUUUAAUAUGAUUUUGGGAACAUAAGGAAUACUGACCAUUAGUCUAUGUGUUGGACCUAGGGAAAUUGUUGUACUUACGCUGGUUGAAUAGGAAUAGGAGACCCUGAGUAGUGGCGUAGAGAAUUAACGCUUUAUACAUCGCCUAACCCUGCUUACGCUGGAGGACUAAGGAUAAAAAGCUCUGAGUGGUGGUUAGUGAGUUAUUUCAUGAGGGAUCAACUAUAACAGUUUUGUUAAUUCGUCGUGGUGUUAUAGUGAUAAGACCAUUCGUACAAGACAUCAAACAUCAACAAUAGAGGAAUAUGAGAUUUUAAAACACAACUUGGCCGCUUUCGUGAUAUUGUUUAAUUGUUUAUUUACUUUUUGCACAGAAACUCAACCCCCCCCCCCCCNNNNNNNNNNNNNNNNNCCCCCCCCCCCCUUUACUAGUUUUUUAUAAAUUGCACACAUUUUGUCUUGCUUGAACGAAGUUCACGUGGAUUCGAUCUUUUUAUUACUUCGACGAUGUCAAUACACUUGUCGAGAAGUCAUCAAGUUUUUGGCGCUUUUGCCAGGGACUAUUAAUUUUUCAUCAAGGCGAUGUUUGUGCAAUUUUUUUUAGUCUUUAAAUUUUAUGUUUUAUUUUCUUGUUUCUCAAAAUGCUAUUGAGGUAUUUUCUAUUUGUGUAUGUACCGUUCAGGAUCAACAUUAAUACCAUUGGAUCCAAAAAUUGAAAGAAACGCACAUGCUCUCAGAAAAGCUGUUAGAGGAGCAACUCUGGAAAGAGGAAUACUAGAAGAAGAGUAAUUAUCAAGUUAGUCAUACUCUGAAGAUGAAGCUGUAAUGGCAGAUGCACAACCCCUAACUAUGGGGGAUUAUUAUAAAUGAACCGAUGAAGGACACUUCUCCAGAGGGUUUGUACCGGUAGACCCUUCUAACUUUGAUAUUAAAAAUUAUGUGCUUUAAGGUUUGAGAGAAAAUUUGUUCGGCAGGAACACGAUUAGAGACCUAUGGGUGCAUCUUACACACUUCUAUGAAACAACUUCAAUGUGAAAAUCAAUUGAUGCCACUGAAGACCAGGUUAAAUUGAGGUUGUUUGGGUUCUCACUAAUUGGAAGGGCGAAGAUUGGUUACUUUUCCUCCCGAAUGGAACGAUACGAACAUGAAAGGAAUUAGAGGAUAAAUCCCUGGAAAGAUUUUUCACUACUACUCAGUUUACCGAGCGCUAAGCAGAAAUUGUGAGGUUUGAGCAGUAGGAAAUUGAGUCACUUUAUGACUCUUGGGAAAGAUUCAAACUUUUGUUACGCAGAUGCUCGAAUCACAACAUGAAUAAUAUAGAGCAGAUGCAAAACUUCAUUAAAGGUCUCAAAGUCAAACUCACGUAUUUUUGGAUGCUUCUACGAGAGGUACUAUCUGAAAAAUGAAUGAACCAUGGGUAAAAGAUAUCAUUGAGAAAAUGUGUAUAAUUGAGUACCGAUCCAAGAACGAAAGGUCGAUCAAGAUGGGAACUGUGGGCACGCCUAAAGGUAUGUUACCUAUUGAUACCCACAUUGCUCUUUUAGCUCAGAUUGAAUUAUUAAAUAAAAAGCAAGCUGGAAGAAGCUUAGUUAAAGCUAACGUAAGUCAGGUACAAGCACUUAAAAGCGAUUUAUAUGGAGGAUAACAUGCGAAUGGAAGUUGUUCAUUGGAAGGGACAAGUGAGGAGGUAAAAUUUUAUAAUUUUUAAAAAAAAUAACUUGUAUUCAAACACAUAUAAUCCGGGUUAAAAAGACCACCCAAAAUUCCUUUGGAAUAAUAAUCAAAAUUCAAAUGCUAACUAAGGGAUGCAACAAAGCCAACAAGCUCUGUUUCAAAGAAAUCCAUCACAAAUGGUAGAGACCUUGAAAAUUUUCAUUAAGGUCACUCAAAGUAGCUUUGCUAGGGUAAAUAAGACCCUUGAAGAAAUGAGUAGAAACUAGGAUGCGUCUAUCAAAAUUUUGGAGAUGAAGAUUGGUCAAUUAUCCAGACAAGUAGCUACUUUUCCAAGCUCAAGUGGAGGAUUCACCAGUAACAUUGUUGAUAACCCUAAGAAUGAUAACCCUAAAUAUAGGUUUAGGGGAAAUUACUGAAAAGGAUAAGGAGGAGAUAGUUAAAGAACGUGUGGUUAAGAUAGAUGAGGGUACAAAUCAAGGUGACCAAGAGGAAAGAGGAGACAUCAUUGAUCAACUUAUUGACAAAAAUUCUCCUCGGGGGAGAACAAAGAAGCAGAUCAUGACUGAACCAAAUCCUCCUUUACCAGAUCACGUAAAACCACCGUACCCAAUAAUUAAAAAGAAAGUGGUUUAAGAUGAUGAAGCGAGAAUGUUUGCAAAGUUCAAGGAAAUUCUAGCUACUCUCCGGGAAAGUAUUUCGUUCCAUGAAAUUUUAGAACUAAUGCCUAAGUUUGCUAAAUUUAUGAAGGCGUUACUAAAUGGGACGGAAGAGAAAAGGAUCAAGGAACAUGUAAACAUGACCGAAAAGAAUGAUAUGGUAAAACCUCAAUCCUUACAACCUAAACUAAAAGACUCAAGUAAAUUUAUGAAGGAGUUAUUAAAUGGGACGAAAGAGAAAAGGAUCAAGGAACAUGUAAACAUGACCGAAAAUGAUGAUAUAGUAAAACCUCAAUCCCUACAACCUAAACUAAAAGAAUUAGGUAAGUUUACUAUUUCCUAUAAUAUUAGUGGAUUCAAUAUUCUGCAUGCUCUAUGUGAUAUGGGAUCUAACAUAAAUGUCAUGCCACCGAAAACUGUCAAAGAAUUAAAAGUGGGUGAGAUCACACCGAGUAACAUGACUCUCAGUCUAGUUGAAUUGUCUAUUACUCAUUCAAUUGGUACUUUACGCGACAUAUUAGUACCUAUCGACGACUUAUUGUUUCCUAUAGAUUUUAUAGUGCAUGAUACAAAAGAAGAUUCGGGAGGAUCUAUUAUUCUUGGACAUCCAUUCUUGGCAAUCGGGAAAGCAAAAGAUUGAUGUGUAAACUGGUCAACUUAUCUUGAAGUCAAAUAAAAGGAAUGUGGUUUUCAAGGUAUAUGACUGGACACCUUAUGUGGAUAAUUUGGAUACUUUCUACUAUCUGGAUGAAAAAGGUAGGAAAGUAGAUAAAGGAACAAUGAGAAAGAAAGUGACAGGCGUGAGGGUGUCCCUUGCGCCUGACGUACCUUAGACAUGGAUUAUCAAGCUAGUGAUGUUAAAAAAGUGUUUGAUGGGAGGCAACUCAUCAAUAAGAAUUUAUUUUUUUAUCAUAGUGAAUAUUAAUUUUUCUAACCUUGUUAAUUUUUGUGCUAUGUUAUUGGAAGAGAAAAUAGGUGAAAGAAGAAAAGAAAGAAAAAGCAAAAGGGAAGAAAAUAGAAAAAGAAAAGAGAGAGGAAAGUUUCAUCCCCCAGAAUCAUCACGUAUGAUAAUAUAAACUAGUUCUUUACAAUAAUAAAAUUUGAUAUUUAUUUAUACAAACACAAUUAUAUAAAGAGAAUAACACACAAAUCACACAUGAUAAUUUUAGAAUAAUUAUACUCUAAUAUUUUUUGAGUCGUGAUAUAUCCUCUUCUUAAAUAUUUGAAAGUUGAAUCUCUCUCACUAAUCUCUAUUCCCCUAUUUAUUUUAAGAAUAAACAUAUUGAAUUAAUAAAACAUAAUUGCACCUUUCUUAAAGGUUAUACAAACAACUACUAAAGUUGAAAAAACUAAAGAGAGGUCAACUCAAUCUUUAUCAAAUUAAAUUAAAGUUUAUUAUAAAACACAAACAACUAGUUCAUUCAAAUGAUAACUUGUUUAGUACACAAGUAAGAUCUUACUUAAUACAUAGAAAUAAGAUCUUACAGAAUAUAGAGAUUAAAAACAUAGGAAUAACAUGAAAAGCUUUUAAAAUGACAUAGACAUUGAUUAACAAAGAUAUGAACUAGUUUCGGGUAUUUCUUAACCAUCCGUCAAGGUAAACUUGUUUGGAGUCAGGGGUGGAUUUUGCUUUCUCGACUCGGAUAUCUUUCAACCAUCCAUCAAGGUAAACCUGGUUGUUGUCAGAGGUGGAUUUUACUGUCUCGGCUCGGAUAUCUUUCAACCAUCCAUCAAGGUAAACUUGUUUUGGAUCAGAGGUGGAUUUUGUUUUCUCUGCUCGGGUAUCUUUCAACCACCCAUCAAGGUAUACUUGGUUGGAGUCAGGGGUAGAUUUUAUUCUCUCGUUUCGAUAAUCUUUCAACCAUCCAUCAAGGUAAACUUGGUUGGAGUCAGACAUGGUUUCUGUUUGCUUUGCUCGAGUAUUUUUCAACCAUCCAUCAAGGUAAACUUGGUUGGAGUCAGAGGUAGAUUUUUCUUUCUCAGCUCGGGUAUCUUUUAACCAUCCAUCAAGGUAAACUUGUUUGGAGUCAAGAUUUUUCUUUCUCAGCUCGGGUAUCUUUUAACCAUCCAUCAAGGUAAACUUGUUUGGAGUCAGAGGUGGAUUUUGUUUUCUCUGCUCGGGUAUCUUUCAACCAUCCAUCAAGGUAAACUUGAUUGGUGUUAGGCAUGGACUUUUCUUUCUCAACUCUGAUAUUUUUCAACCAUCCAUCAAGAUAAACUUGGUUGGAGUCACUUGUAGAUUUUGUUUUCUCAACUCGGGUAUCUUUCAACCAUUCAUCAAGGUAAACUUGGUUGGAUUCAGAGGUGGAUUUUGCAUUCUCUGCUCUGGUAUCUUUCAACCAUCCAUCAAGGUAAACUUGGUUGGAGUUAGGUGUUGACUUUUCUUUCUCAACUCUGCUAUCUUUCAACCAUCCAUCAAGAUAAACUUGGUUGGUGUCACCUGUAGAUUUUGCUUUCUCAGCUCGAUUAUCUUUCAACCAUCCAUCAAGGUAAACUUGGUUGGAUUCAGAGGUGUCUUUUGCUUUCUUUGCUCUGGAAUCUUUCAACCAUCCAUCAAGAUAAACUUGAUCGGAGUUCUGGGAGGAUUUGGUUUUCUCUGAUCGUGUAUCUUUCAACCAUCCAUCAAGAUAAACUUGGUUAGAGUUAGCAAUGUGUUUUCGACUCUUCAAUGGAUUUUUGAGCCAACCAUCAAGGUAAGGUUGAUCAGCUUGUAUUUCUUGUACAUUCUCUUGCUGAAGUUUGAUAUAUCGGGCAAAGCUUCCUUGUCCAUUCUAUAAUACAAUUGAAUAAAUGGAUAUUAGUGAGUUAUUUUUGGAUGGUAUAUAUGAUUACAAAAACAAAAUUAUGUGUUUUAUGAGACACAUUAUGUUACAUAAAUAAGACACAUUCAUUGUAUAUUUCAGAUGGAUAUAGAAUGCGAAAUAAAAAUCAAAGAAAAACAAUUUUUUAAAUUUCAUUGCCGCAUAGAAAAUAUUAUUUUGUCAAAUUAAAUAGAACAACUUGAUUAAGUGAAUGAUGAAAUCAAAUCAAAUAAAGAUGCAAAAUGAUAGAUUGUGAUAAAUAAAUGAUGAAAAAUAUAUGUGUAAAAGAUACAAGAAUGGAUGCAUAACUUACAAUCAAUAAGAGCAUGAUAAAAGGGAGGAGAGACAAAACAUCUUUGUUUGUCAUUUCUUUAAUGUUAUGAUUUUGUGGGAAAAUUGUUUUAAUGUAAAAAGAUGUAUUGAAAUGGAAGUGAAUUGUGCUAUUUAUAAGUGAAUGAAAAGAAAAACUACAUUAAGGACAUUGAGACUUUGGUUGGCAAGAUUAUUUUUUUAAAUAUUUAGUUUAAAUUAUUUUUUAAAUGUUUAGUUUAAUUGAUAAGUUUAUAUGUCUAAGAAAGAUCAAUUUACUAAGAUUUAUUAUUUACAAGAUCUAUUAGGUGUGUUGUUUUGAGUUAUAAAAAAUAUUAAAAAAAUUGUUUGUUUGAUAUAUUUUUUUAAUUAGAAGCUCCUAACUAAAUCCUCUUAGUUUAAAAUAAAUAAAUUUUAGAACUGCUACUGCAAUUAUUUUUAUUUUAAAAUUAAAAAUGAUUUUCUAAAAAUCCUUAAUAAAAACAUAUUAAAAUGACAAAGGUGAUUUUGUUAAAUGUUAAACAAACAUUUAUUUUGAUAAGUUAUUUCAAAUAACUUAAAAUUUCAUAAAUUUAUUUUAAUUUAUAAUUAAAGUGGUAAUUAUGAUAAUCUCGCCUCUUGAGUUCUAAUAUUUGAGCUAAUAGUAUAAAUAUGUUUUAGUUGAAUUAGAAUUUGCAUUAGUGAUAGUUUCAAUUUUACAAUUAAUUAGACUAAAAUAUUGAUGUUCGUCAUAUAUAUAUAUAUAUAUAUNUAUAUAUAUAUAUAUAUAUUAAAUAGUAAUUAUAUAUUAUAAAUUUUAAUUUUGGGAAAAAAAUAUUAUUUCAAUAUUUUAAAAUUUUAAUAAUUAUUGUUUUAUAAAAUUAAUUAUAAUGAGUAUAAUAUUUUAAUUUUAUUAUCAUCAAAUAUACCCUACAUCAAAAUUCACAAACUUUAAAUAUAAAUAUCGGGAUCCACUUAAUUGAAUUGGAAUUUAAACAUCAAAAUUUAGACAAAUGUUAAAUUUUGAAGCACUUGGUUUUUGAAUCAUGACUCUUCUACAACCAACUCCUAGGGACUUACUACAUAGCCAACAAUGAAUCCAAAAUAGUUUCACAAGAAACACUAAAAUACUGUGUUGGCCUUUGCAUGUUUAAGAUGUUCACAUGUAGCUGGGGUUUGCGUGCUUAUGAGCUUACCUAAUAGUAAGUUAAAAAAACAAUAUAUUAUUAUACUGACCAGUCUAAAGAGAAAUAGAUAAGUUACUGUAUUUGUUAUUAUAAUCAAAUAUUAUCUAAAAAAGAAAUAAAUUAUAAGGAAUAUGUUUUCAUUAUUUUUAUCUUUAUUUAAAGAAUAUAAAUAUUUUUUAAUUAAUGAUAAAUAAUUGAUUUUAAAUGUGAUUACGGUUUAUAUCUUUAUCUAAGAAAAUAAAUGAUAAAAUGUGAAUACUCAUAUCUAAAAUUAAAUAUUUAUCCAAUUAUGUAGGCCAGCCUCAUAUUUAUUGUAAAAAUUUUAACAAAGUUUAAAAUAAUGAAAAUUAGAAUAAUGGUAUUCCUACAUUAAAUCUUACAUCAAAUACUUACAUUAAAUAUUUUUUACCGUAUUUAAACGAUGAAUAAUAUUUUUAUUUUUAAUAAAAAAAUAUUUAUAUAAAAAUGUUUUUAUUUUUAAAAUUAUUUUUAUAAUAAAAAUAUAAAAUUUAUCACAAAAUAAUUUUAUUAUCGUAUUAACUAUAAAAAUAUAGGUUAUAAAUCACAUAUUUCACUUAUAAUUCAUUAACCAGUAAAAUACAUAAUAUUAAUCAAAUUAUGAUAUUAAAAUAUGAAAUAUAUAAUUUGCUUAAUUAUUAUAUUUUAUAUUUUAAUGUCACAAUUUAUUUAUAUUAUUUAUUUUAUUAAUUGAAUAUAAUAAUAAGUAAAAUAUAUGGUUAAUCAUCUAUAUUUUUAUGAUUAAUACAAUAAUAAAAUUGAUUAGUGACAAAUUUUAUAUUUAUAUUACAAAAAUAAUUAUAAAAAUAUAUCAAAAACGAGUUUAAGACAACGUAGGAAAAAGUGAAGUGACACUCAAAUAUUAUUUGCUCAUUAAGCAAUCAGUUAAAAUUAAAGUGAAUUAACGAAUUAAGCAUAAAGUUUCACACAAUCAAAAUUAGGGAACAAUAAAUCAAUCGAACAAAACAAAACUACUAAGUUUUGAGUGUAAAAUUUGGUGUAAUAUUAAAAAUUAAAAAAAAAUUGAGGUUUAUAAGAUGUAAAAUUAUUUAUUAAACUCUUUUAAUAAAUUUAAUAUUAUGAUAAUUUAUUAUGAUAAAUAAUAUUUAAAAUAAGAAAAGAUUGAGCUUUUAAAGGAUGAAAUUCUAGUCAUUAGAUUAAAGAAAACAUCACCAAAACCUUAUUUCACAGAUGAAAUCGACUACAUAUAUGAUAUAUCAAUUUUCACGCUAAUAUUCUAUCAAUCACCAUAUUUUAUAGCCAUUAGACUAUUUAAUCAAAAUUAUUCAUAAUAAAUUUCAUUUGAUAUUUACUUUUUAAUAGAUAAUAAAGUAGAUAUAUUUAAUCUUUAUUAAAAAAUUAUUAAACAUUAUUGGUAUUAAAUAUGAUUUUAUUAAUUUUAAUUUUGAUAUAAUUAAUGGAUAUAAGUAUUGGCUCAAGAUAUAUCAAAGCCUUUGCCAAAUUUUUAACAAAGAUUUUAAUAAUAAAAAUUAUGAGUGUAAUAUUUAAAAUAAAAAAUUGAGCUUUUUAAAAUGUAAAAUUAUUGAUUGAAUUAUCAUAAAUCAGUUAAGUGUGUAUUUAUGCAAGAUGGGACAUCCCAUUUGCAGGGGCACAAAUUCAACCCACAACAUCUCACUUUUUAUCUUGGAAAAUUCCAAUCAAUAAAUUACUUGAUCCAAAAAAAUCAUAGUAAAUCUUGUUUGAUAUUUAUUUUCAAUCAAAUAUAUGUAAUCCUUAAUGAAACCUUAAACAUUAUUGAUUUUAAAUAAGAUUUUAUUAACUUUAAUUUUAUACCAUUAAUAGAAGGACUAUAUUCUGGAACGAAUUAAUAUAUUUUCGUUAUUCUUAUUUUUAUUUAAAUAUUUAAAUAUUAUUUAAAUUAAUAAUAAAUAAUUGGUUUUAAAUGUGAUGAAGUUUAUAUCUUUAUCCGAAAAAAUAAACGAUAGUGAAUAUUUAUAUUAAAAAAUAACACAAUACACUUAAAUAUUUAAUCUCCUUAACCUAUCUAAAUAUCUAGGCCGGCAUAAGACAUAUUGAAGUUUAGUGUAAAAAAUUUAACAAAGCUUUUAAUUAUAAAAAUUAUGACUGUAACAUUUAAAAUAAAAAAAAUUGAACUUUAUUAUUAGAUGUCAAAAUAUUUAUUAAACACUCUUAAUAAGUAUUAAAUAUAAAUUUAUUAAAUUUAUUUUUGAUACAAUUAAUGAAUAUAAGUACGGGCUCAAGAGAUAUACACGCCUUUGAUAAAAAAUUUAACAAAGAUUUUAAUUAUAAAAAUUAUGAAUAUAACAUUUAAAAUAAAAAAGUUGAUCUUAAAAGAUGUAAAAUUCUUUAUAAAAUUAUUAUAAUAGUUUUUGAUUAAUUAAUAUGCACAGUCAAUAUCAUUUUUUUAUUAUUAUUAUUAUUAUUAUUAUUAUUAUUAUUAUUAUUAUUAUUAUUAUUAUGCGUCGGUGUACAACUCAUAAAAAAAGACGUCAAUCAUAAAUAUAUAUUGGUACAGUGUCGUCAAUUGGAUUGACGCAUCCUCGUAGGUGUUAUAUGCAGGGAUGAAGCUAGAGAUUUUGAACUGUAGGAGCAAUAUAUUAAUAUAUAAAUUUAUUUCUAUUUAUUUUUAAAUCAUAAAUAUAUAUUUAAUUUAUUUUUAAAUCAUAAAUAUAUAUUAUAUCUAUUUUUUAAGAAAUCUAUCUCUAAAACAAUUUUUAUUAAUUUUUUAAAAUUUUAAAAUUUUAAAAUUUUGUAAAUUUUAAAAUUUUAUUAUCAAGAAAAAUAUUUUUUUAUGUAUUUUUUAUGAGAUCAUAAUAUUAACAUAAAAUUCUAUAAAUCAAUUUUUUUAAAGAUCGAGGAAAAAAUUAUUUUAAAAUUAUAACAAGAAAAACAAUUCAAUAUAUUUCAUCUGACAUGUUUUAAUUUAAUUAUUGAAAAUAAAAAAUUCACUAUAUUUUUGGACAAUAUCCUAAAUAAAUAUUCAUAUACUUUAUUAUUUUCAUCUAAUUUUUAGUAAUAUCUUCAUAAUAAUAAUAUUAUUUAUAUAAAUUUAAAAUAAUAUAAAUUUAUAUAUAUAUAUAUAUAUAUAUAUUUAUAUAUAUUAUAUAUAUAUUAAUAUAUAUUAUAUAUUAUAUAUAUAUAUAUAUAUAUAUAUAUAAUAUAUAUAUAUAUAUAUAUAUAUAUAUAUUAUAUAUAUUAUUUAUAGUAGGGACCAUUUGUCUUAUGCUAUUUUAAUUUGUUAUUUCUUAAUUUCCCCGUCUAUUUCAGUGUUUGGAUUAAAAAAAGGGGGGGGUCGGGGGUUCCCUCUUGGGGGUGGGUUUAGUAUUUUAAUGUUUUUUUACUUAAUAUUUCUUUUGUGUUUUUCACAUUCUUCUAUGUCUUAGAUUGACGUCUUCUUUAUUUUGAAAGUGGGUUACUCUCAGAAAUAAUUGAAAAAGUAAAUUAUUUUAGAUAUCUAUUUGAAAAGUUAGAAAAUCUUAAAUAUUAUUCAUUUUAAAUAAUAUUUUAUUAAUAUAAUUUUUAAUACCAUUAAUAGAAGGACUAUAUUCUGGUAUCAACCGAAAGGAUUAUAUUAUUGGACUAUUUUAAAUUUCCUAUUAUAUUGUUGUCGUCUAUUAUCAAUUUAUUUUAUCAAUAAAUCACUAUUUGAAAUUUUAUUAGUAUUUAAGUCUUUAAAUUCAUCUACACCUUUGACUUCUACUAUUAAUUUUCAUUUUCAUUUUUUUAAUGUUUAUAUAACUGGUACAUUGUUAACUUGUUUAUUUAAUAAACAUUAAGCAAUAUUUUUAAAUUAACUUUUUAAUUUAUUUUUAUAAAUUUAUCUAAAGUUCCCUUUUAUAAUUUAAUUAAAAUUUCAACUCUCUUUUUUUAAUUUCUAAUUUUUUUUAUUCAAAUUUUUUUAAUUGACAUUACUCUAAAUAACAUAAUAAAACAAUUUCCACAAUAAACACAAACAAAAAAAAAAUUCAAAAAUAAGAUAAUUGAUUAAAUAUAAAUGAUUUAAAUUAAAAGUAAAUAAAAUAAAAUUGCAUAAAUAAAAUAUAAUUUUAUCCUUUUACAAUGCUAGAGAGGACAUACACUUUAUCAUAGAAGUAACGAUUAAUUAAUGGAGAUGAUGAAUUAACAUAUUUUAUACUCUCAUAUACACAUUUUAGGUUGGAAAUGAUUUGAUAUAAUCCUUUAUCUAACCUGUUUAAAUUUUAAUGGGUUGAAUUUGUCGUUCAACCCACAAUUUCAUUGUCAAAAUUGACAGAAACCGACUUGUUUAUUUAAGGGUUGUGUUCGCGAUGUUUUAAAUAAAAAUUAUUUUUUUAUAUAUUUUUUAAGAUAUAAAAAAUUUAACCCAAUUCAAAUUAGAUGAAACACAUCAUAUAAUGUCUAAUAAAGUUCAUCAACACGACAUAACACUCGAUAAUAGUAUUAAAUUCUAAUAGUAUCAAUGUUAAAUUAUUUUAAAACAAUUAUUUUAAUUAACUCUUUAAUCAUAACAUUUAUUUAUUAUAUUUUUAUAAUACAUUAUAAUAAAUAUAUUAUAAAUAUUCUUAUUUUUAAUUAGAAAUAUAUAAUGAUAAGUUAAUUAAAUAAUUAUGGUUUGUGAAAAACAAAAACAAAAUCAACGUCAAAGUUAUAUGCUUCAACAAUUUAUAUAAUGACUCAUUUUUAAAUAAAAUAGCUUUAAAAAUUAAAAGUUUGAAAAAUAAUAGUUGAUAUAUUAUAUAUUUUAUUUAUUUUUAUGUUGACAAUAUAAAACAUAGACAUUAAUUUUAUUCUUUAACCAUAAUUUUUAUAAUAUAUUAAAAUAAAAAGUAGUUAAAAUUAACUAAUAAAAUUAAUUAUAAAUAGUUUAAAUAAUUUAAUUAUUAUCAAAUAAAAAUAUAUAAAAUAUUUAUUUAGUAAAGAAUAUUAAAACGAAUAACAAAUUAUAUGAGAUGAUAUGACUUUUUUAUAAUCUUUUGUUUUCUUAAGUUAAAUUAUUUAGUAGAUAAAAAAAAAAAUUAAAAUUGAUAUAUUUCUCUCUCUUCUUUAAAUGAUAUUUUUUUUUCUAUUUCUUACCUUUUAAUAGUUGGAUUAAUCAAAUGGUUUAAAAUUGCACAUGAGAGAGGGCAUAAGAGAAAAAAUUGGAGAGGAUCCAAUUCCGAUAAAAAGAUGUGGUAAAUUUAUGAGUAGUUUAAUAAUUUAUACAUAUUUUUAGCCUUAUUAAUUGUCACUUCGUUGAAAAAGAAAAAGGAAAUAAUAAUAAUGAUAGUGAUAAUAAUUAAAUAAUAUUGAAUUUUUUGACAAAUAAUGUUAUUAAAUAUUAUUGAAUAUAAUAGAUGAAAGAGAAAAAAAAAUGAAGAUCUUUGUCUGGCUUACCUCCUCGUUGAAUAGGGUAUGCUAACUAUUAAUAUGCCAAAGCCUCUUUAAAAAAUUAAACAAAUCAAUUAUAGGAUCCGAUAACUAUUAAGGAAUUUCUUAUGUCAUCAUAUGAAAUGGAAAAACUAUACAAAAUUUAAAAUAUUCAUUCAAGUUUAAAGAUGCAUCUUCGAAUACACAUUUGUAUCACCUUAUGACGCACUAAAUGAGCGACACCCUAAAGUAAAAUAAAAUCUUAUUCCAAAGAUACAUCUCUGAGUAUUUUGAACAAAUAUAUUGAUAUUUAAGCAAGCGUCCUCAGCAUGACCAGAUACCUGUAUCAUACACUCAGUUGCUGUCGUAUCUUGUCCAGUAAGGGGCAAUUGCGCCAAAAGAGAUUCCGCAUGCAACUCCUCCCUAAAAUCACAAGCAUAAUCCUAAUGUGCCUUGUUCAUUUCAUGUCGGAUACAUAGGGCAUUCUAUAGAGGAUUAUUUGGUCCUCAAGGCCAUAAUGCAAGAGUUAAUUGACCAUAAGGUUUUGUCAUUCUUUGACGCAUGACCCAAUGUCAUAAACAACCCGUUGCCAGACCACUGUGGACAAAUAGUGAAUGCAGUUAGUGGCGAAGAUUGCUCAGAUUCAGUUGCUUCUUCAGAGGAGUAUCGAUGCUAGCAAUAUCAUAUUGAUUCAAUCAUGUAUCAUUUGUAAUCCUUUCUUGUUUUUUAAAUGUUGUUCAUUUGUAACUUGUCUGGUUUUUCAGAUGAUAAUAAUAAUGAAAUAAACGUGCAUGUUUUGCUUAAAUCCAUUCGUGUCCACUCAUAUUUUAUUUUAUCAGUAUCAAACUGUUUGUCGAACAAAAUCAAAAGAGAAUGAUGCAAUUAAAAAUACGCAAGAUCGCUGCCUGUAUGGUUUUGAAUAAGAUCGUGCUGAUGAUGUAAGGCAUUGUUCAAUCCCUAAACACCGGAGAUAUAAGGAAGAUAAUCCCUAGUCAACCCCUUUGGGUAUUGUAAUAGGAGUUUCUUUCUUGAACACAUAAAACCCUCAUGCUUAACCAGGGGCAGAGUAUUCUUCAGUUAGUUUAGACUUGCAUUCAAAUUUAAGAAGGACAAUAUCUCAUCCAGUGAUCAAUCAUAUCAUAUCCCUCUCAAGAGGAUGGAAUCAUAAAUCCAGGAUGGUUAUCCCUUACCCAUCAAAAAGAGUGAGAUAAUCACGACUCGUGCAACAAAUCGAGAAAGCUGUGUCACAAGGUUUUCUCUAGUACAAAAAUAAAAGAUGAAACAAAAUUAAAAGCCCGCUAAGUCAAAAGCUUGAAAACAAGAUUGACUUAGGCAAAAGUCAGGGUAUCCCGGUGGGAUGCAGACCCAAAGGAUCAGCCUAGGAAAAAAUAAGGGUAAACAAAACAAAAGAAUUAGAGGAUCAAUACCAAAAUUCGUAGCGAGAGCAAAUCCCUGUGACUAUAAACAAAAGCAGAAGGCGAGUGGCUAUCGCUCUAAAUUCUCGUGGAUUCCUUAAACCAUCAUUGUUGAUAUUCAAAAUCCUUUCUGAAAGACGAACGCUUAUUUUAAGCUAAUUGAAUAUAGAACUAGAUAACAUCACACAGAAUGGGUGGGUUAGAAUAGGUUUUGAGCCUUAUAUCCUUUCUUUCUGAAACCGUGAACUAGGCCAAGUUACAACCCUCAAAAGACCUAAUUGAAGUAGGGUUUAUUUCAAAAGCAUACUAUGGUAAGAUCGCGUUAAGCUGACUCCUUAAGAUUUUCUUGUCAUAUGUUUGAUACUGAUAUGGCAUUCUAAACAGUGAUUUGUUCACUAGAUGUCAUAAUCUUAGUGAACACACUUGAGUUUUCAAAACUUGCAUGAGCAUGACAUUACAAUUAUCAUUUUAAAAAUGAGCGUUUUACAUGCGAACAUGCAUUUGACACCAAGGAAGCUUACAAUGGGAAAGUUGAUCAAAUUCCUAAUAUCCCAUAGCUCAAAUCUCUUCAAGAGCCCGUCAAUCUAAGGCACCAUGCCAAGAUUUUGCAAAUCUCUCUGAAUCAGCUGUAUAAGGGAAAAGUUUAAUUCGAAGUUCAUAUUGGGGAAGGCCACCUCAAGAGCAUGAGAAGUCAAUCACUCCUAAGAUAAUUAACUAGGAGGAUAUAGUUUCAAGAUGCUGGGGCAAGCCAGUUUGAGAUACUCAGAUGACGAGAUCACUCUAAUUUGUAAUUGGAGAAAUUGGUGCAGAUAUCCAAUACAUUGGGGCAGAGGCAGGCUACGCAGGUACAAGCUCUCUCCAUGUUCUAGACAUAAUCCAGAGGUGUGACAACAAUUUUUCAGCUUGAAGUAGGUUCGAAGAAUCACGUCUGGAGGAUACCAUAUCCUAGCCAAAAAUUUCCACCUCCCUCUAUAUGAGCACCUGGAUUAACCAUUGCAUAAAUCAUUAUCAUGAAUAAAUCACGUCGCUUCACUCAUGCAUACCAUUCAUCUAUCAUAGCAUGAAGCCGUGUGUGAGAAUCAAAGGAAUUAAAGCCCAGUAUUUUAUUGGCAUCUCCAAAUUCCAAACUUGCCUGGUACCUUUUUAAACCAUCUAGUUUGACAAUUCUUCCAAAAUCCAAUUUGCUUGGCGUCUUUUAAGCCCAGUUUGCUUGGUAUCUUUUUUCGACCUUUAGGGUCGAUGAUCCUCUUUUCCAACAUUCAUGGUUGAGGAACCUUUUUUCAAUCUUCAGGAUUGAUAACCUUUUUCCAAUCUUUAGGGUUGACGAUCUUUGUUUCUAACCUUCAUGGUUGUUGAAUCUUUUUCCCACCAUUAGGGUGAUGAUAGACUUUGUUUCCGGCCUUUAAGGUUGAUGAUCCUCUUGCUUUCAACCUUUGCGGUUGUUGAAUCUUCUUCCAACCAUCAUGGUUGUUGAAUCUUUUUCCUACCUUUGUGGUUGUUGAAAAUUUUUCCAAACCUUCUUGGUUGAUGAACUUUUUCAAUCUAUGUGAUUGACAAACUUUUUUCCAAACUGUAAGGUUGAUGACCUUUCUUUUUUUCAAACCUCUGUGUUUGACUUUGUUUCCAGUUUUUGAACUGAUGAUUCAUUUGUGAAACCCCUUGUUUGCAAGAAUAUUUUGGAACUUUCAUGCGCUCUUUGAUUAGCAUACAUGGCCACAUGUUUCAAAAAUGAUAAAAAAAAAUACAAUUUAGCAUGCAUAUCAUGAUCGUCAUUUGCCAUUAAUAUCCCCACAGUACAUCAAAAUCACCAGCAAAUAAACCCGUAAAAAAUCAAGUUGAUAUCCCUAUAUCUCAUACAAUUGUCCUUCAAGGAAAAAAAUUCGGAUACUUCGAUAUUUAAUCCACGCAUACCUUAAAAAGCUGAAAAGCUCUCGCAAUUCGACCAUUCAGGUCUAAGCUGAUUAAAUAGGGGCAGAUGUCGUAUCCUAAAUUUGUCCUCCCUAUUUCAUCUUUCCACUCAAUUUAUCAACUUGAGAUUCAUCUGUACCACAUUCAUAUUUCAUUCAUAUGCAUCAUUCAUUAAUCAUACAUUCAAAGCUUGUGGCCUGCAAAUCUAAGGUUUGUUGAUGGGACAUGGCUCUUCAUAGGCUCAUCAUGUGAGGGGAAACCCUAAUUUCAUACUCUUUUAGACUUUGAUUCAAAAAGGUUACAAUCACGACAUUCAUUUAGUCAUUCAAACCCUUAUUCCUGACUUUGUUGUCUUUCGGUCUCACAAGCUUUCACCUGUGUAUCAUGAAGCCCUAAUCAGGGAAGAUUUGGUCCGGUUGCACCUUAUGGCUUGACUUUUCAUCUUGUGUGUGCUGGAAACCCUAAUUCAUUAGGGAGAGGUGUUUGACUAUCCUAUUAUGCAUGCCUACUGGUUUGGAAUUGCACAUGAUUCAGGUCUUGUUUCAAGCAUCCCUAUGCCCAUCACAUUUAACUUUGCAUAGGCCAUUAACUCAAGUCUUUUGGUAUGGGCAAAUGCAUAGACCCAUAUGCCCGAUUCACUUCAUUCAUAUGAUGCAGAUGAUCAAGGAUGAUUGGUCCAUUUAAGAUUUGGUUCCAUUGGUUCAUUCUUUGUUUCUUAAGCAAAAUCAUUAUUUCAUUUGAAUUAUGUCAUGUGAAAACCCUAAUUCAAAUUUCACAGUUGACUUCGAUUAACUAGUUUACCAAAGUCAACCAUCCCUUUUUGAGUCCAUUAAACUUUUUCAUUAAUCAUUCACACUUAAUCACAUUUUUCGAGCUAUUUGAUGCAUCCAAUUCAUUCAAUUUUCAAAUGUAAUUUUGACCAUUCCAAACAUUUUAACCAUUCAAGGUUAACAAUUUAAGUUCUAUAAACCAUCUUCUUUUACAAUAUAUUUCCACUCAUAAACUUUCCAUAAGCAUUCAAAAUUUUCCAUCAUAAAUAUCAUUCAAUACAAUAAACUUGUCCAUGGUUCGCGCAUUUAAUCCUUUCUUUCCAUCAUUUAUUUGCAUUGCAAUUCUAUUCAUCCAAAGUAUCAAACUUUUCAUAAUCACCAAGUUCCAUUCCAAUACAUUCAAGUUUUACCUACAACUUUCCUUUACAAUUAUUACAAACCAUUGUUUUACAUUGUUACACUAUGUAUCAACCAUAUCCUACAUAACCAUAUUAACCAUUCCAAAUGAUCAAGCAAGAUAGAAUUUCAUUCACUAACCAUACAAGAUAUCUCAAGCAUACAUUUCCAUUUCAAGCUACAUUAUAAUGCAUCAUAAUCCAACAAUAUCAUGAAGCAGCCCAUGGCCUCUUAUGCAUUCACUAGAAAUAUUUCCAUAGCACAAAUUGGCCAUGUCCCAAAAGAUAAUGCACAAAAAAAGCAUGAAAUAUCAUGAUUCUGUUAGGCUCUGUUUUGAAAUUAUUUACCUGAUGAACAACAGACAUAAAUGCCGAUCGAGGUUAUAUGGAAGCUUCAAAUACUGAAAAAGAAAACACACCCAUUGCAUUGAUGGCUACAGCUCUUCCUUUGAAACGCCAUUGAAGCUUCAAUUCGUGGAGCUUAAACCACUGCACCUCUUCGACCUCACGCGGAAAACGCAACAACAGCAUAUGCUUAGAAGAACAGAGGGAGAGGAAUAAGAUUGCAGCAACAUAACAGAAAGAGUGAAGGAACAAAAUUGAGACGAAGAAAAAGGGAAGAGAUCGGUCAAUACCUGUUCGCAGUUGAAGCAUCAAAUUUGGUAAGUCCUUUUGAUUUUCUUUUCUUUCUGUUUAAGUCCGCGAGCACAAUGUUGGAUGGAAUCACAUGUCGAUGAGGUUGAACACAAUCCAUGAACUCUAUUAUCUGUUAGAAUUAGAAUAUUAGGUUAUUAAGUGACAAUUAGAAAUUGUGAUUUAAUUAGAAUUCUAGUAUUGAUAGAUUUUGGAUUUUCAUUAGAAUUAAUUAGAAAUUUUAGAAUUUAACUAGGGUUUUAGAAUCUAUUUUAGACUAAUUAGAUUUUCACAUAAUUAUAUAUAAUUAUAAUUAAUUAGUUUUUGAUUAAAUGUUGAUUAUUAGAAACUAUUUUCCUAAUUAAUCCAUUUAUGCAUAUUGACUAUUUUACCCUUUAGAGGUUAUGUUUGUCAUUUUAGCCAUAAGGACAUGUUCCUUUAGGUUUAGAUCUUGACAUCAAUUUUUAAUCAAGUCUUGACCAAUUAUAUCAUGAUCCCUUAGGAUAGUUUGUAACAAAUUCUAACCAUUAGAUUAGGAUUUAAUCUAGUUUUCAAACUAAUUCAAACCUUCUGAUUCAAAUUGAUCAAAAGCAAUUUUGAUCAAUUAAAUCAUUUGAUAUUGUAUAAUCCCACAGUCUAAUUUGAGUGACACAAAUACUCUUGGUCACCUAAUGAGACUUUUUCGGUAAGUUGUGGAGCUCGAGGCCUCAAGUCAUAUUUUCAAUCAAGGCAUCAUCGGUCAGACCAAGCAGUGGAUAAUACAAGGUACAUCAAAGGUGGCAUCUUUGAGAGCUUGUCAAAUCAAAGUUAUGAUUGUGUGGCAUGAGCCUUGAGUAAUGAAGAAAGAAUGAGACUGAAGAAUUCCUACCCCCAUCAACACAAAGGGCAUCAUGUCAGCAACUUGUUAAUUUUGAUUCAAGUUGCAUGCCAUGAGCCUUAAGAAACAAAGAAUGAUGAGAGUGGGGAAUUCCUAUCCUUGUCUAGAAUAUUCUUGGGUACGGGACGAAUGACCCAGUUGCUCAAAGUAUUCGCCUUUUUCCAUAGACUUUGGUGCAAUUUAAAUCAUGCAAUUGACAAGCCUUCUUCUUCAAGCAAGCAUCAAUCAUUCAACACUUCAAUAGUGAAACACCAUUACCCCCUUUAGUAUUGGACUUUCCUCCUGGAUGUUCAUACAUUUCUUGGGAUUAUUACCUUGGGGUCACAUACCCAUCUCGCAAUCAAUUGCUUCAUGCAUUGCCUAUCAGUUCACACUAUGGCAUACUUCAUUGCUUGCCCUCAACGUACAGACCCUGACAUUCAGCCUAUGGAGUACAUACUCUGGCUUUGUUUCUUCCCCAUAAGGUACAGACCUUGGCAACUUCUUGCAGCCCAUAGAGUAUAGACUCUGGCUUUAUUCCUUGCCUACAACAUACCGAUCUUGGCAUCCUUGCCCUAAUGAGUUCAGACUCUGGCCAUCUGAUUUUGUCUAUACAGUACUGACUUUGACAUAUUAUUAUGCCUUAUAGUUAAGACUUUGGAAUUCAUUCAUCCAGCCCAUUGGGUUCAGACUUUGGCAUCGUACUAUUUUGCCCUUAUGGAGUUCAGACUCUGGCAUUCAAAUCAGUUCAUUUGCCUUAUAUAGUUCAGACUAUGGCAUGCUUAUACAUCUUGCCCAUGGAGUUCAGACUCUGGCAACCUUUAACAUUGUCUUGAAGUCAGACUUUAGAAUUAUAUCUCCUUUUCCCUUAUUGAGUUCAGACUCUGAGAAUCUGUUCCUUGCCUUUGUAUUAGUUCAGACUAUGGAAUUCAUCUAUCUUGCCUUGUGGAGUUCAGACUCUGGCUAUAUCUCAUUUGUCCUUAUGGUUGAUUACCAUCUUUGGUAAGUGUCAUACUCUCGCUUAUUAAGCAAUCACCUUGCCUCUGAGCAAUCCUAUCAAAUCUCCCUUUGCUUUCAGUUGUAGUAGGCUAAACUACGAUUGCUCUGAUUUUCUCAUUGCACGAUGAGAAUACAUAGGCACAAGGGUUCAAAUCCUCCGUGAGCAUACUUAUUUAUUACUCCUACCUUAGGGCAUUUCUCCAUCCAUCUCCAUGAUACAGUCAUAUACUACCUUUAUUCACUUCAUGUGAUAUACCCUAUUCUUUGAGCCAAAUACAUUAUACCUUUGUGCUCCAUCUUGUACCCCUUUGUGAACCAAGAGAUGUUUCUGUUGUGAAACCAAAAUUAAUUUCCUUUGUUUUCGGCUAUACCAUAUAGUGGCGAAUGUUCAGACAAUCCAUAUAUCGGUUUAUUCCAGUUUUACUCUUGGGUUCACGCUUUCACCCCUUGUUGGGGUUCAAAAUAUUAUCCUCUGGUUCAGGCCAUACCUUGAUCACAACUUCCUUUUCAUCUCCCACCACUAGUUCUUUGAACUACGAAGUUAUGAAUUCCUCAUUGCACUAUGAGUAUACAUAGGCAUGAGGGCCCUAAUCCUCACCGAGCACUCUAUCUAUUUCUUUUCAUUUUCCCCAUUCUUUUGCGAGUAAUCUUUAGAUACAACACUCAUUCGAGCGAGAACAAUCAAAACGGUUCCCAUGGAGUACCAUAGAUGUUAGGGAUGCUAAUACCUUCCCAUUGCAUAAUCAACUUCCUUACCCAACAUAUCUCUUUCCCCUGGGUUUUAUCGAUGUGUUCGGGUAUAUUUCCGCUAGCUGCAUCACCAACUCCAAAAUCUCAAAAAAGUGUUUUUAAAGGAACUCGCAUUAGCAAACCACCUCCUUCACCGUCUCUACCAAAAAUUUCAUUCAUUGACGAGAUGUUAUUUUUUUCAUAAAUACAUCGAACAAAUCGUCAAUGUUGAGGGUGACGGUAAUUGCGAUUUUCGAGCUAUUUCGAUUUUGCUGGGUAAAGGAGAAGAUGAUCACACACUUGUCUGCCAUCAACUUAUCCAUGGUUGAGGACCCAUAUAGAAUUAUACACACGACUUUACCGAAAGAAACAAAAUUUUGAUGCAAUUUAUGAGUCUUUUAUUCCUUGCAUUAGUGGUCCGAAACCAGAGGAAAAAUGAAUGUGCUUCCCUGAAAUGAGUCAUCUCAUAGCAAGUGCAUCUGAUAAAGUGUGUAUUGGUCUUACAAGAUACGAUUUUUUGGAAACUUUUUUUCCACUGCGCACCACCCAACCUCAAAAUCUAAAUGAUCGUAUUUUGUGUAUUAGAAUACCUUUAAAAUUACGACACUUUGUUCAAAUUUAUUUGAAACGGGAUGUCGUAUACCACUUACAUCAGUGGAGUGGACAACUCAUUCAACAAUAAAAUCCGGGACUUAGACGGGCCAAUUUAUGGAAAAGAUGCAAGAGUUUACCAAAUUGAGCGACAUUGAAAGUGAAUAUAAUGCACAAAAGUCAAAGGGGGAACCACUCAUACUUAUAAAUUUAGCCAUCGACAAAUAUUUCGAUUCGUUUUAGUUUUUCGUUAUCAAUUAAUUGUAUAUAAUUUUGUAUUAAUAGUAAGGGUUAAUAACAUUUUUAUAGAAACAUUCUAGUUGUACCUUGGGGGGAAUGACCCAUGAUUGAUGCUUACGUGUCAUGAUAAAUAUCAUGAUAUAUUUUAGUUUUUAGUUUUUUAAUUACAUAUAUGCUUACGUGGACUUACAGUUUUUUAUUUAUGAAUUAUUUCUAUUUUCAUGUGAAAAUUUAUUUUCUUUUUCAUUUAUUUUAAUCAUAACAAUUAUCAAAACUACUUUAAGAAAGUUCUAAAAUUUUGUCAACAAUGAAAUUCUCAUACGGAUUUGGCAAGGAACUUUGAAAGGAGAUUUGAAAGCGUGAACCACAACCAUAGAUAGGAAGAAGGAGAAUUAGGGUUCAACAUAGUUUGAACCGUGUUUAUGUUUAUGUUAGGGACCGAUUCGGGCUAGACCCAAUCUAGGUUCGGUUGAUCCACUAACCAUUAGUUUUUUUUUUAAAUUAUUUUGUGAGUAUACCAUUUGUUGUUUGGCCUUACCUAUUUGUGACUUGGGCAAACCCCACUUUAGGAGCCAUCUUGUCUUAUUUAUUUAUUUAUUUUUGUCUUUUCCUCAACCUUUUUUAUUGCAUUAAUAUUUUAGUAAAAGAAUAUAUAAAAAACAUAAACUUUUUCAUGAAAAAAAAGGUGGUUUACAAUUUUAUAAUAAUUGAUUUUUAUUGUUAUUUCAAUUUUUUUAUCAAUAAAUAAAUAAAAGUAGACAAAAUUUGUUUGAUGCGUGCCUUAGGGUUUCUUUUUCCUAUCAAGCUAUAUCUCAAAAGAAGAAUAUUUCUUUAAGAAUUAUUCCUUUUUUUAAAAAUAAAUUUGAUUCCAUUAUGGUUUGAUUUGUUUGAUCUUUAUUGAUUGUGUGAAUGCUUGUAUUGUUCAUACUUGAUCCAUGAUUUAUGUAACCUUUCACUUAGACCUUCGAUUGUUAGUAAGAUAAAAGUAAAUGUGCAAUAAAAUCAACCUUUUAAAAUAAGAUUCAAACACUCUAUCGAUAUGAAUUUGGUUUUAAAAAGAUCUCACUAUUUUCACCAUCCAUUCAAAGUUAAUUUCAAGUCAUCUCACAAAUUAUUUUCAUGCUAACACGAAUAAACCCUCGAUCAACAUCGAGUUUCUUUUUUGCUUAUUAAAAACUUGAAAAUCAUUUUCAUAAUAAAUCAGUUGAAAAAGGAAUGGGAGGCGCACACAUCUCUACUCCUCGAAUAAGUGAGUGAUUGGUAGACUCCAUAUUGCUCUAACUUUCAUCUUCCGAAUAAAAUAUCCUAAAUAAACAUGGAUGAAAAAGGAAGAGAGGCGCACACAUCUCUACUCCUCGAAUAAGCAAGUGGAAGACACACACCUCGCUACUGCGAAUAUUUUUUCUUCCGCAAAUAAUUUUCAAAAUAUUAAAAUCAAACAAAAAAGGAAUGGGAGGCGCACAACUUGUUGCUCCUCGAAUAAGUGAGUGAUUGGUGCGCGCCAUAUUGCUCGAGCUUUCAUCGUCUUCCUACAAAACACUAAACCAAUCAAACCUAUUUUCUCGCCCCCUUCGUUCAUCCCAAGACGAUGUAAACACGCUUCAUUUCUACCAUGCGCAAGAAGUUAUAACUCUUUUCGCUCGAAUGUGACGAGAACAAAUUUGUGAGAAUCUGGAUUAUGUUAUUCAUUCUAAUGUGAUGCCAAUGUUCACUUCUCCAUGUUUUUAGUAGCAAAUAAUGUUUUCGCUCGAAUGCGACUAAGUACCUUUCGUAAAAACUGAUCAACAAACAAAAAAUUUCUACCCAGAACUACGUAGCCUUGAGUUUUUCAUCGCACCUGAGAUAUGUAGAAGCGAGACCCGUAAUCUCGUCAGGCACAUUAAUAAAAGAAAACAUUUUGCGACCCAUUUUGUUUUCUCUUUACACUUUUGACCACUCGAAGAAAACAUAUGACAUAAGCUAAAAUUUCAACCACAAAUCUAACUAAAUGGUUCCCGUUGAGUGUAACAGAUGUGAGGGGUGUUAAUCCCUUCCCCUCGCAUAAUCGACUCCCAAACCUGAAUUUGAUUGUGACAAACAUUUUCUUUUUCUUUUAAGGAUUUUAUCAAUAUUUCCCCUCCUUUUUGGAAUAAAUCAAUUUUGAUGGUGACUCUGUUAUCUUGACCAUGCAAGCGCUCAUGGUCAUUUUUCGCGUCGCGACACUACUGUACAAUAGUUAUCUGUAUCAAAAACUAAAAUAUUUGUGUCUGUAUCUUGUUGUCUAGGAUUGUUGGAAACGAGAAGGAUGGAAAAAUAAAGUGUGUUUAUUUUUCUAUGUUGUAAAAUCACAAGGUGGUUUUUCUUGGUGAUUAAGUUAGAAUCUUGUGUAUAGAAUCUAGGUUUAGGCUUGUACAAAAUAAUAACAAUAUUGAAAUCUCUUAUAGUGUCUAAGGGGACUGACAUACUCUCAGAUUGUGAUGGGAACUAGUAUGAUUUUCGAUGUUAUUUACUUUAUGCACUUUACUGCUUUCACCACCUAACCAUAAACCAAAAAAUAAAGAAACAUUCAUCUCUAAAAACAAUGUACUUACAGCGAGAGCAUGAUAUUCCGCUUCAGUACAUGAACAAGACACAAAAUUUUGUUUCUUUAAGCGCUAUGAAAUCAAGGAGUUACCCCAUAACACAUAAAUGCUAGUGUAUAUUUCCUAGUAUCCAGACAACGUGCCCAGUCGAAGUCAGCAAAACCAUGCAGCUUUAAGGAAUUAUUGCUGGCAAAAAAAUGCCUCGAGUAGGAAAUGCCUUCAGAUACUUCAAAACUCGAGUGGCUUCCUAACGGUGAGGAACCAAGGGGUUAGCCACAUAUUGGCUAAGGUGACGGACAAUAAAAGAAAUACUUGGCCGUGUGUUUGUAAGGUAAAGUAGCCUGCUAAUUAAUUUACAAUAUGAAGAAGGGUCCUCUAAAGGAGUACCUUCACUAGAUGAGAGCUUCAUGUGAGGAUCAAUAGGUGUGGAGACAAGCUAAGCCCCAAGAAAACCAGUGUCCUCAAGCAGCUAGAGCAUGUAUGUUCUCUGGCUGAGAAAGAUACCAGAAGUAGAACGUGCAAUUUUGAGGCCCAAGAAGUACCUUAGUUGACUGAGAUCUUUAAUGCAAAAUUGUUGAUGCAGGAAAGACUUUACUUGUUUAUUCCACAAUCGAGUCGCUUGUCAAGACAAUAUCAUCAAUGCACACUGAUAAGGAAGUGAAACCAUGAGGUGUGAUCUUGGUGUAUAAUGAGUGACCAACAACAGAUUGAGAGUAGCCUAAUGAAAUGAGAGCUGAAGAAAGCUUAGAAUGCCAUUGUCGACUGACCUGUUUCAGUCCAUACAAUGAUUUUUUUAAGUGUACAAACCUUGUUGGAUUCAAGAUUACCAUAGCCAAGAGGAAGAGACAUAUAUACUUCUUUAUUUAGGUCUCCAUGAAGGAAGGAGUUUUUAACGUCCAGUUGCUCAAGGUGCCAGUGUUUGACAGCUGCAAGAGAUAAAAGAACACGAACAAUAGUAAUUUUGGCAAUUGGGAAAAAAGUAUCAAAGUAAACUACAUGUUCUAAUUGAGUGUAACCCUUGGCUACCAACCGGUCCUUGCAUAUAUCAAUAGAGCCAUUGGCAUGGUACUUGACUUUGUAUAUCCAUUUACAACCAACUGGAGUUUUGCCUAGAGGAAGGUCCACAAUGGUCCAAGUUUGAUUGUCCUUAAGAGAUGCAAUUUCAGUAUCCAUGGCCUACUUCCAACAGUCAUGUUUAGAGGUAUGAAGAUAGGUUUUUGGUUUAAAUAUGGAUGAAAUAGAGCAACAAAAGGAUUUGUAAGUUGGAGAGCAUUUUUUAUAUGAUAUAAAGUUGGAGAUAUGGAAGGUAGUGGAAGAGGAGUUAUUUAUAGAGGCAUAUCUAUUUGAUGAAAGAAAGAGAUUACAAUAAUAGUCUUUGAGAAAACUAUGAGGGUGUUUGGUUCUCAUUGAUUUUUGAGUUAGUAGUGUGGAUUGGUUUUGGGGAAUGUCUGAGGGAGGGUUAGAAUUAUGUGGAUACAUGUUAUCAACUAAGGUAUCAUGAAGGAUGUUGGGUUCAAAGUCAAUAACACUAGGAUCUUGGGUACUUGGUGAUGGAUUAAAAGUAGUUUGAUAUGGACUUGAGGUACUAGAGUCAAUCAAAGUAGGUUGAUUGAGACUUGGAAGGUUAGGGAUAAGUCCUGUUUCAGAAGUAAUAGGAUAAUCAUAAGAAUUUGUGACUGGUGUGACAACAGUAGAAGGAGUGGACAUAUGAGGCUCAGGGGUCAGAGUGAGGGCCUGAGGUGUAACAUAGUCAAUGUCAUAGGUGAUGUCCAUCAAGCUAUGAAUAUAAGUAGGGAGAUUUGUGGCAUUACUUUUGAAUGGAAAGGUGGUUUCAUAAAAGAAAACAUUUAGAGAUAUGAAUAAGUUAUGAGACUGAAGGUCAUAGAGAAUAUAACCUUUAGUACCAUCUUUGAAACCAAGGAGAAUGGCUUUUCUAGCCCUACCAUUGAAUUUUGUUAUGUGGGUCUGUAAAGUUGUUGAAAAACAUAAACAAACAAAGACUUUCAAAUGAACAAUAAUAUAUUAAGUUUUGAAAAAGCAACUCGUAUGGAGAUUUUGACUGAAGUUGAGGACUAGGGAUCCUAUUAGUCUUGUGGACAACAUGUUGAAUACUGAAGUUCCAUAGGUUUAAAGGAAUAUGUGUUAAUGUUUUCUCUCAACCACCCCAUUUUGCUGUUUUUGUUAUAGUGGUGGUGGUGGUGUGUGUGUGGCGGGGGGGGGGGUGUUCUACACAAGAUUUAUGGCGACUUAUGCCUUUGGAAGGGAAAAAGGAACUAAGAGUUAGGAACUUUGAACCCUUAUAUGACCUAAAGCAUUUAAGAGUGGUUUUGAAUUUAUUUCCUAUUGAGGCAAUAAAAUGUAUUACACUUUGUUUUGUUUCAGAUUUUUCCUUAAUAAAAUGACCCAUGUAAACCUUGAAAAUCCAUCAAUAAGAGUUAAGAAAUAUUUAUAGCCUAAAAUAGAAUCAGUAGAAAAGGGCCCCCAUAAAUCAACAUGUAAAAGUUCAAAUGGAGCAUGAGUAUGAGUAAGACUAUUUAGAAAGGGGAAUUUCUUUUGUUUUGCAAAAUGAAACGAAUCACAAGGGUUCAUGUUAUUUUUACAAGGGAUGGGGGGAAAAUGUUUAGCCAUAGUUUUCAUACUGAAAUUAGAAAGGUGGCCUAGUCUUAGAUGCCAAAGUUCAAAGGAAUUAGAAAUAACAUAAUUACUAGUGGAAUAAACAUCACUAAUAUCUAUCACAUAGAGGCCUCUGUGCCAUUUAGUUGUACCAAGCAUUUGCUUUGGAUGGUUCUGCAAAAUAUGACACAAGUUUGAAGAAAAUUUCAGAUAGCAAUCAAUAUUGCUAGUCAAUUUUGUGACUAAGAUUAAAUUAACAUGAAAGUUAGGAAUAUAGUGAAAAUUGUAAAGAGUUAAGGAAAGGGAAAUGACAAUGUUUCUAGAUAUGCAGGCAGUCAUGUGAGAUUCAUUUGGUAAGGAGAUUAAGCUAUUGAUUAACUUAACUCACAAAGAAAGAGUCGCCACAACGCUUUUAUUAUUUCCAAAGAAAAUAGAAAAAGAACGAACCAAACCCAAAGAAGUUUAAAAAAAACUAAUAAAAACAAAGAUAAGGGUCCAGGGGUUGGUUAUGUACAGGGAAGAUACUAGCACCCUAAGCAUCUAUAGUACUCUACAGGAACAUCUUUGAAAAUAUGUGCAUUUAGAUUUAAAAUGGUGUUGUUUACAAAAGAUUAGGGAGAUGAAAAGAGAUUUUUUUUUUAUAAUUUUUGUGUUUGCCAAGACUUUCUGAACCUCGUGCCUACGUACCCAUAAAGUGCAAUGGCGAAUCAAAACCUCGUAGUUCGUGGUAAAAAUAACAAAGAUGUUUGCUUUGAUUCAUUUUUAAUGAAUUUUUUUUUGUCAUUUUAAGAAGAACAUUCAACUAGCCAUCCACAAGUAUGGGAACUUUGCAUCACCAUGAGAAGGACUCUAACUUGGAUAAAUAUCAACUAGCUCUCUUAUAUAGAAAAGAAUUAUUAUCAAUACUAUGGGGAUAGAAAAAUUAUAUAUCAACUAUGGAAAUGACUCGUGUCUAAACUUUGAGAAAAAAGUUUUAAAAAGGAAAAAAAAAAGUGCACAAAGGGCACAAAAAGGUUUGAAUGAGUUAUGCAUUUUUAGUUUUUUGAAAUUGGUUUGAAUAUGAUUAAGAUGUAUUAGAAUUUAUUAAUAAAAGAUUUUGAAAAGAAAUCACUUGAAAAAAGUCAAGGUUUAUUGAGGAAGUAGUUCAAGUUUGAAAACAAGAAUGUUUUGAAAAAAAGAGAGAAGAUUUUGAAAAUCAAAGAAGGGGAGGAGAGGAAGAGAUUAUCCUAGAACAUAAAGUAAAAGCUAUGGAGGAAAGAUCCAACCAAGAGAUAACAACAAGAAUUCACUCCUUUGGAUUAAGCCUUAAGCAAGUCAAAUAAGCAAAGAAUAUUCCAUGUAUCAGAUGAAACCAAAGUAGCCAAGCAAAAUCUUCAAAAGAAUCUCAAAGUCAAAGGUAGCAGAUGAAUCUCAAGGUCUCAAAUCAGAAACUCCCAAAAGAUAAACAAGUAUGCCACUAGUUCUCUUAGAUGGAAAAUAAUUAUCAUCAAUACUAUGGGUAUAGAAUAAUUACAUCUCAACUAUGGAAAUGACUCAUGUCUAAACUUUGAGAAAAAGUUUUAAAAGAAAAAGUGCACAAAGGGCACAAAAUAGUUUGAAUGAGUAAUGUAUUUUUUAAGUCUUUUGAAAUUGGUUUAAAUGUGCUUAAUAUUUAUUAGCAUUUAUUAAGAAAAUAUUUUGAAAAUCACUUGACAAAAGUCAAGGUUUAUUGAGAAAGUGAUUCAAGUUUGAAAACAAGAAGGUUCUUGAAAAAAAAAGAGAAGAUUUUGAAAAUUAAAGAAGGGGAGGAGCUAAGAAGAUUAUCCUAAAACAUAAAGUAAAAGUUAGGGUGAAAAAUCUAACUAAGAGAUAGCAAGCUUUAUGACAUGUGUUAAGUAAGAACACUCUCCUUUGGAUUAAGCUUCAAGCAAGUCAAACAAGCAAAGAAAAAUCCAUGUGUCAGAUGAAACCAAAGUAACCAAGGAAAUUAUUUAAAGUAAUCCCAAAGUCAAAGGUACCAGAUGAAUCCCAAGGUCUCAAACUAUAAACUCCCAAACAAGGGUCAAAAUUCUAGUUCUAACUCCGUAACUCCAUAAUAAUCCCAAUGAUAGUAACCUCAAGUCCAUGAAUUAAGAGAACCAAUUUUUAGGGGUUUUUUCCUUUAUUAAUGUAUUUAAAAGAAAAAGAAGUCUAAAUGGACAAAGAAAAAAAGGCAUAAACAUAAACAAAGGUCCAAGUGGACAAAUAGAAAAUAGCAUAAAUACAAACAAUAUGAUAUGCGAUGCUAAAAUAAAAUCAUAAAGUUAAUAACAAGAAAUAAAUGGCAAAAAAAUAAAGAGCAUAAGAUAAAUGGCAUUAAAGUAAAUUUAAUAUAAUAAUAUGUUAGUAAGUUGUGUUAGUAAUAAAAAAUUGAAAGAUAAUUUAUCAUUUUUGGGAGAAUACUCAACUAUUCGCCCACAAGUAUGAAAAUGUGGACCUCUACAUCACCAUGAGAAAGACUCCAACUUGGAUAAAAUCAAUAAGUAUGCCACUAGUUUUAUUAGGUGAAAAGGAAACAAUAUUUUUCACACAAUACCAUGGGGAGUAGGAGACUUACAAUCUCACUUAUGAAAAUGACUUACUUUCGGAUUCAGGAUAAAUUUAACGUUAUGUUAAGCAAUCGUAAUUGGACUCAUGUUGAAGUCACAACUAUCUGAGCCCGGUCAAUAAUAAUAUUUAUGUUAAUACAUGCUAGAGAAAUUAUAUGUAAAUCAUUCUCCUAAAGAUAUGCCACACAAAAAAAGGAUGGAUCAAGCACAAAUGUUAAGAGAGUUGUUCAUUACAUCAAUCAAUACUUCAUGAUACUUAGGACAAGCUUAUGCAUCAAUCUAAAGUACCUUAAAUAUUCUAUGAUCAAUUAGGAGGUAGAUUUGAAGUGAUGAAAGUUCAUCAAGUACCAAUUCAUACAUCAUAAACAAGAUGAACACAAACCAUCCAAUUGAUCAAGAGAAAAAAGGAAGCGAAAGAGAUUAAGAAGAAGAAGAAGACGAGAGAAACCAAACUCAAAUUGGAUCAAAGGAUUGAUCAAGUCAUCAUCAAAAUCAAUCAUCCAUCUUGGUAGAUUUGGGUUUUCACCCCAUCAACACCGAAGAUCCAUUGAAUUUGAUGAGAUUUAUGAUCAAAAUAGCCAAGAUCCAAGGUCAACAGAAGUCAACAAAGGUCAAACAAGCAUAAAAUGAAAGAAAAUAAAAUAAAAUGCAUCAAAAAUAUUUUUUAAAUGAAUUUUAAAAGGCAAAUAAAACAAAAAAUUCCAUAAAACCCUUUAAAAUACCAAAUAAAUGGCCAAGAAAAUUAUGGAAGGUUGAAGAUAAAAUAAGGAACAUAAAAUAAAUUUUUCAAAUAUUUUUAAUGCAUAAAAGUAUUUUUAAACUAAUUAAAAAAAGGGGAAAAAGAGGAAAUCCAAGAAAAUAAAAUAUGGAAAAAUAAAAAUCAGAUGAAGAAAAAAAAAAGAAAAUUUUAGAAAAUAUUUUGGGAUUUUUUGGAUAAAAAAUGAAUUUUCUAUAAAUUUUUAAAGAAAAUGCAAUUUAAAAUAAAAAAUAAAAAGAAAUAAAAAACAGAAAAAAAUAGAGGCAUUGGAUCUGACCUCAUUAAUUGACGUGGCAAAUCCAACAACUAUCAGGCUAGGGCGCAUGGUGGAAAAUAGUUAGAAUAAAACAUGGAAUCACAUUCAAAAUGGACCAAUCAAAACAUUUCAAAAUGCCAACGUGGAUAGCCAACUCAGAUGGCCUGAAACAAAUCCAUUCAUCUUCUUCGGUAAUCCCUCAUCGGAGUUUCAUCAUUUGACAAAGUAAGAACAUGAGACUACCACCAAUGUGAUCGUCUCCUCAUCACGAAUUCAACCUAAUGCUCAAAAUUAAUUUAUCUAAAUUGAGUAUGGAGAAUUUCAGAGAAGUUUUAGAAACAAGCAAGUCACAAAAAGUAAAAUUAAAUGAUGAACAUUAUCACUCAACACCAGAUAAGUUAGGGGAAAGCAUAAGAGGGUGAAGGACUACAUUGUGGUAACUCGUUUGAGUUCAAAUGAUGCUCAAAACUACCUUGUCCAAAUGUAGAUCGGAGGUUGAAGAAGCUUGAUCUGGUCAGGGCACUUCAGAAGGUCUUACAGAUUGAGAAUUAUUGCAAAAUCUUCAUAGGAGACUGAAAGUUUUAAUUGAAUCAAGAAAUUGAACUGAAACAAGCUAGAAAUCAAACACGAUAGCUCAAUUUUCUAGAAAUGUUUAAUAGUGGAGCAGGGGUUUUUUAGCUCUCCAAAGCUUGGGAAUAAGGCAAAUAUAUUGCUCUAUUUAUAGGGAAGUGAUUGGUGAUCUCAUACGUGCCAAAUGAUGCUUAAUUCGUGCAAAACAAAUUUGCUCAUGAUGUGAGAAAAGUGUGACUUGUAAAACCAUCAAAACUCAGCCAAAUUAUGCAUUAAAUGAUUCAUUUAACUUUUGAAGACUUGAUUAAUCAUGUUUAGGUCCAAAACGUGUGGUAAAUUGGCUUGUAAUUAAGGAUUAGUGAAGUUCAAAAUUCUGAACAUGGUGAUUUCUUCAGUUCCAAGUUACCAUGUUUAAUUCAAUGGGGCAUCUUGCCUAGGAGGCUUUUUGAUCUCAUUUUUCUUGCAAUUUUUGGACAUCAUAUCAAAGAUUACAAUGUGCCAAGAAAGGUUGCAUUUGGAUGCUUGAGCAGAAGUUUAUGGCAUGUUAAAGUUGGCACAAAAAUUUGGUUAUGCAACUUGGAAAAUUCUAAGUCCCAGAUGGCUAAAAAUGACCCAUAAUGUCUCAAAGAAUUCCAUGGUCUUCCAAGCAUAAUUUGACUUUGAUCCUUGAAGAAAACUUGUAGAGGGCAUCACAAAUGAUAUUAUUCAAAAAGAAUCAGCGUCAAAUGUUGGAAAUUGAAGAAGUUAUAAUCCUUGAAAGUUGAGAAAAAGUCACUUGAAAAUAGGUCAAAUUUCACUAGGUCCACAAAUGACCUAUAAUGUCUUCAAACUUUUGAUGAUCCUCCAUGCAUAAUUGGAUCUUGUAAUGUAAAGAGAAGUUAUAGAGGAUAUUUAGAAGAGUCAUAUGCAAAAAGAAACAUUCAAAAAUAUUGAGGAUUGAAGGAAUUGUGAACCUUGGAACUUUGACUUCAAAUGUUGAAUUUUUGGUCAAACCUCUUGGAAUAAACUUGUGUACUUGGACUUUUAUUGCAUUUCAAGGUACAUGGAUGAUCAUAUGAACUAAAAAUAAGGUGUCCUUAAAUUUAUUUUUAUUAAAUUUCUUAAAGUUUGAGGUAACAUAUUGAAGAAGGCAUGGAAAUAAACACAUGAACCUUUGCCUUUUCUUGAGACCGAUUAUCCACUUUUGUGUAACCGAUUACAAGCGCAAUAUUUUGAUUUUUCCUGCUAUUUUACUUGGUCAAUUCAGUUCCCAAUUGUGUUGUAUCUCUUGUAUAAGUGUUUAGAAUGCACACUCAUCUAAGGUUAAUGCAAUAAUAAUCUCUCACCCUUAAUUCUCCUCUUUCACACUCUACAUCCAAAGUAUCUCCACCAUUGUUCAUCAAACUUGUUGUGUCUUGUUCCAACAUUUGACAUCAAGAGUCUGGUUCAGAUCCACAAACACCUAGUGUGCAACAUGAAUUAUGUUUCCAAUGAAAGAAUCCCUGCAAACCUACAUAUCCUUGAUGCGAAGAAUUAUGAUAAAUGGUGCAAGAAAAUGAAGAUGUUGUUUGGCUACCAAAAUGUUCUUAAAGUAAUCAAGAAUGGUGUUAGCCCUCUUGUUCAAAAUGCAACAGAGGUGCAAAAAGAAACACAUAAGAAAGAGAAGAAGAAAUACUUCAAAGUGUUAUUCUUGAUCCAUCAAUGUGUUGAUGGCGACAAUUUUAAGAAAGUUGGUGAUUGCGAAUCGUCAAAGCAAGUGUGAGAGAUCUUAGAAAAGACAUGUGGAUGGGUUGACAAGGAAAAGGUGGCGAGGUUACAAACUUACAAACACCAGUUUGAAUUGAUUCAAAUGGAGGAAAAGGAGACAAUAAACUAUUUUGCAAUGAGAAUCACCCGGUUGGUGAAUCAAGUGAAGGCAUGCAAAGAAACUGUUACAAAGCAGUAUGUUGUCGCUAAAUCUUGCAUUCUUUAACACUAAGAUUUGACAAUAUAGUUGUGGCGAUUGAGGAGUCAAAGGAUCUCACGAUGAUGAGUAAAGAGAAGCUGCAAAGUUCUCUCGAGGCUCAUGAUAAAAGGAUGGAAGAGAGGAAUAACGUUAAGGCAAAGGCGGAGAUCGCUUUGCAAGCUCGUUUCAAUGAGAAGGACAAGAGAUCGAAAGGAAAAUGGCCCAAGAAAAGAAAAGGGAAUUUUCAUAAUUUUGGUGGAAGAGAGUCCUAAAAUUCAAAUAAUUUUACUUGUCAAAGGGGUGAGAGCAUCUUCAACAAACAUGGUGGUCAAGGCAACUUUAGAGGUAGAAGGAAGAGGUUUGACAAGAGCAAGGAGUAGUGCUAUAAGUAUCAAUGGUUUGGCCAGUUUGCAAAAGAAUGCAAUUUGAACAAGAAGGAAUCUCAAGGGGAUGAAGCCAAGGUUGCAAGAUAAGAGUUUGAUAAAGAGAAUACAUUUUUGGUCAUGAUCAAAGAAGGGAAUUGUAGCAGCAAACAACUGCGGGACAACAACUACAACAACUCAACGAAUGCUGAAUAGGUUGGUUGAAUGAUACGAUUAACCAAUUGCAUGAAGAGGAAGACGCCAUGAUGAGUUUGAAAGGAGUUCAAUGCAGUGAGGAGUGGUAUUUGGACUUGGUUUGUUCAACUCAUAUAACGGGAAUAAAGGAUUGGUGUGCCAAAAUCAAUUGUGCCAUGAAGAACAAAGUAAAGUUCGCGGAUGACACCACUCUAAUAUUCAAUGGGAUCAGUGAUGUUUUAAUCAUGAGAAGGGAUAAUGGACAUUCCUUGACCAUAAAUUCUUGUACAUUUAGGGAAUCAAAUGUAACCUUCUGAGUAUUGGCCAAUUUCUUGAGAAGGGUUAUAAGAUUCACAUGGAAGACAAGGGGUUGCGGGUUAUGGAUGUAAGAUGAGUCUUGGUCCUUAAAGCGCAUAUGGAUGCCAAUAAAACCUUUAAGGUUGAGUUGAAGGUUAUAGAGCAUAAAUAUCUUGCUACUGUAACAAGUAGACAAUAUUGGAUUUGGCACUAUCGUCUUAGGUAUCUCAACUUUAGAGAUUUCAAAGACUUUCAAAAGAACAGAAUGGUAACGGGGCUGCCAUCGAUCAACAUACUAGCUGAAAUUUAUGAAGAAUGUAUGCAAGCGAAGCAACAUAUGGGAAAAUUAAGAAAGUAGAUUCUAUUGGUGGCAAUAUGUAUUUUUUCACAUUUAUCGAUGAUCAUAGUACGAAGCUAUGGACAUACCUAAUCAAGAGAAAUGACGAUGUAUUUGAUGAUUGUUUGUCAUUGCAUAUAUUUAAUCGAAGAAUCAAAGAAAAAUAAGUGAAAUUUGAGAUAAAAUGAAGAAGAAUGAGGAAAAAAUAGCUAAGUGUGAAAAUUGUGGACUUAUUGAAAAUUUGAGUGAAAAGGGGAGCAAAACCGUGCAACCACGGGAAUAAUCACGCGCACCAUCACAUAGCAUCGUGCACGCGAUGGGGUCUUUAAAGCAGCAUUACACGCGCGAUACAAGGAAUCACGCGCGUGAUAAGUACUUUUUAUGGGCUUUUUAGACACGUUCUAGUCCAUUCUAACGCCUUUAAAAGAGGAUUUUCUGCACUUUCACAAGGGUUACAAAAUUGGGAGAUCUAGGCACGAUUUUGAGAGCACAAGUGGUGAUUUUUAUAGCAUUGGAAGCUAUUGGAGGCCAUUACUUCAACGUAUUUCACAUGUUAUUUUCAUCUAUCAAUUAUGGCAUUUUUAAUUGCAUUAUGAGUAGCUAAGCUCUUUUAUAUUAGGUUGUGUUAUGAUGAACCUAUUUCUAUAUUGUUGGAAUCUAUGUUGAUUUAACCAUUCUAAGAACCGUUUGAACUAUAAUUCCAUUCAAUUGCUUUUUGUUCAUAAUUCCUUUUAUGUGAGAUACUCUUUUAAUCUGAUUUUGGGCACAUAGGGAAUAUUGACUAUUAGUCUAUGUGUUGGACCUAGGGAAAUUGUUGUACUUACGCUGGUUGAAUAGGAAUAGGAGACCCUGAGUAGUGGCAUAGAGAAUUAAUGUUUUAUACAUCACCUAACCUUGCUUACGCUGGCAGACUAGGGAUAGAAAGCUCUGAGUAGUGGUUAGUGAGUUAUUUCGCGAGGGAUCAGCUAUAACGGUUUUGUUAAUUCGAUGUGGUGUUAUAGUGAUAAGACCAUUCGUAAAAGAUAUAAAACAUCAACAAUAGAGGAAUAGGGGAUUCUAGAACACAAUAUGCUCGUUUUCGUGAUAUUGUUUAAUUGUUUAUUUACUUUUCGCACUGAAACUCGAAAACCCCCCUUUUUACUAGUUUUCUAUAAAUUGCACACAUUUUGUCUUGCCUGAAGGAAAUUCAUGUGGAUUCGAUCUUUUUAUUACUUCGACAAUAUCAAUACACUUAUCGAGAAAUCAUUAAGUUUUUGGCGUCGUUGCCAGGGACUGUUGAUUUUUCAACAAGGCGAUGUUUGUGCAAUUUUUAUUUUUAUUUUUUUAGUCUUUUAGUUUUUUUUUUCUUUUUCUUGUUUAUCAUAGUGCUAUUGAGGUAUUUUUUGUUUGUGUAUGCACAAUUUAGGAUCAACAUUAAUACCAUUGGUUCUAGAAAUUGAAAGAACUACACGUGCUCUCAGAAAAGCAGUUAGAGAAGCAGCUCUGAAAGGAGGAAUACUAGAAGAAGAGCAACUAUCAAAUUCUUCUGACUCUGAAGAAGAAGCUGUAAUGGAAGCUGCACAACCCCUAACUAUGGGGCAUUAUUAUAAAUUAACCGAUGAAGGACACUUAUCAAGAGGGUUUGUGCUGGUAGACCCUGCUAACUUUGAUAUUAAAAAUUAUGUGCUUUAAGGUUUGAGAGAAAAUUCGUUUGAUGGGAACACGAUUAGAGACCCAUGGGUGCAUCUUACACACUUUUAUGAAAUAACUUAAAUGUGCAAACCAACUGAUGCCACUGAAGAGCAGGUUAAAUUGAGGUUGUUUGGGUUCUCACUAAUUGGAAGGGAGAAAGAUUGGUUACUUUGCCUUCCGAAUAAAACGAUACAUACUUGGAAGGAAUUAAAGGAUAAAUUCCUCGAAAUAUUUUUCAUUACUACUCAGUUUACCGAGCGCUAAGCAGAAAUUGUGAAUUUUGUGCAGCAGGAAACUGAGUCACUUUAUGACUCUUGAGAAAGAUUCAAAUUUUUGUUACGCAGAUGCCUGAAUCACAACAUGAAUAAUAUGGUGCAGAUGUAAAACUUCAUUAAAGGUCUCAAGAGUCAAACUCACAUGUUAUUGGAUGCUUCUACGAGAGGUACUAUCUGAAAAAUGAAUGAACCACGGGUAAAAGAUCUCAUUAAGAAGAUGUGUAUGAAGGAGUACCGAUCCAAGAAUGAAAGGUCGGUCAAGAUGGGAAUUGUGGGCACGCCUAAAGGUAUGUUACCUAUUGAUACCCACACUGCUCUUUUAGCUCAGAUUGAAUUAUUAAAUAAAAAUCUAGUUGGAAGCAGCUUAGUUAAAGCUAAUGUAGGCUAGGUACAAGCACUUGGGUGCGAUUUAUGUAGAAGAGAACAUGCGAAUGAAAGGUGUUCAUUGGAAGAGACAAGUGAGGAGGUCCAAUUUGCUAAUUUUUUAAAAAAUAACUUGUAUUCAAACACAUACAAUCUGGGUUGAAAAGACCAUCCAAAAUUCCGUUGGAAUAAUAAUCAAAAUUCAAAUGCUAACUAAGGGAUGCAACAAAGUCAACAAGCUCUGUUUCAAAGGAAUCCCAUCACAGUUGGUAGAGACCUCACAAAAUUUCAUUAAGGUCACUCAAAGUAGAUUUGAUAGGGUAAAGAAGACCCAUGAAUAAAUGAGUAGAAACUAGGAUGCGUCUAUCAAAAUUUUGGAGAUGAAGAUUGGUUAAUUAUCUAGAAAAGUAGCUACUUUGUCAAGCUCAAGUGGAGGAUUCACCAGUAACACCGUUGAUAACCAUAAGAAUGAUAACCCUAAAUAUAGGUUUAAGGGCAAUUACUGAAAAGGAUAAGGAUGAGAUAGUUAAACAAUGUGUGGUUAAGGCAUAUGAGGGUACCUGUAGCACCUCAAAUUUGCACCCCCCAUUCAUGCAUUCAUUUCAUUUUUUAGGUCAUUUAUCAUUCCAUAUUGCAUUGCAUUUUGGCAGUCAGCAUUGGCAUCAAGAGAUUCAUCAGUACAAAAGAGAAAGUUUUUUCUUGAGAUGAAGGCCAAAUGAUUAUACUAAAGAGCUUAUAUGAGCCCAGGUUCAUUUUGAAGCAAAGUUACCAAGUGGUAGAGGCCCAAACUCAUCAGUGCACUUCCAGGUCAUCUGAGGCCCAUACAAGUCAACUAUGCAGUCAACUAAGGGCUUUGAGUUGGGGAAAUGGUUUGAGACACUUCAUUCAUGUCCAAAAGAGGCUUUUUCAUCAUGUCAAACAUCUACCUUGAAGAUUUUGAAGUCAAAUCAAAAGUUUCCAAAAAUGGAAAGUGACCUGUAAUUCAAAGUUUCCAAAAAUGGCAAGUUUUUAGACCACAUUCAACUUGACUUUCCAACAUCAAAUAAGCUUCAAAUGAAUUUUUGGUCAACAUGAAAGUUGAAGAUAUUUCUCUCCUAUUUCCAAAAAGUCCAAGAGUAUGAGUAUCUGAUGAAUGGUUGAGAAGUUAUGAACAAAUGAUUGCAAAGUAUGCAUGGAACUUCAAAGUGCCAUAACUUUUGAUCCAAAACUCCAAAUUGAGCCACUCUUUUUGCAAAAUGCUUGUAUUGACCAAUAUUUUCCAAAUCAAACAUUGCAUUGCAUGAAAUUAACUCACAUGAUCAUUUGUCCAUGCAUGUAUAUUUUGGAGGGAAAAUGGAUAAUUCAAAUUCUAUUGAUCAUACAUGAAAAAUUCCUAUGCCAUUGUGAUCUUUGGAUGAUUUUAAGUGACUUUUAACCAUGCAUGUGCACUGUUCACGUGUAAAAUCUCCAUGCACCACACAUUUACCAUUUUUGCAUUACACCUCAUUUCUCAUUAAGUUUCCAUUAGCCAAGCCUAAUUGUGAUUAGCAUGAUAAUUAACAUGUGAUAUAAAUAGAUAAUCCUAACUGAAUUGGAUGAGAUUACACAUUCUAGAUCUAGAAAUUGGAUUUCCCUCCAAAAAUUCUCUCAAUUCAAACAUCAAAUUUCUACACAUAACUCAUGAAUUUUCUUGCAUAAUUGUGUUCAUCUUGCAUCAUUGAGUAAGAAUCAAGGCCUGGACUGAAGGAUUUGGUGCAGAGUCGAGCUCCACGAAUGCAUGAAAAUGAAGAAGGUUUUCUGAAUUUGAGCUUCAUUUAGGUAGUUUCAAUUGCUAUUCCUUCCAUAAAGCUUCACCUCAAGGUUGAUAGAGGAGACCUGGAGCUGGAGGAGGCUUGAAUCCACGAAAUCAUCGCACUGUUCUUCAAGAAGGUUAAAAUUUGAAUCUCAUUAUUUGCCAUUUUAUGCACAUGAUCUUGUAGGUCGUGCUCCACUGAUGAUUCUGAUAUGAAUAUUAUUGAUUUUGGCUGGAUAUUGAGUGAGUUAUGAUGAAUUAAAGUUUGUAUGCUAAAUUUGUUCUUGCUCGAUCCAUGAGAUAUGUGAUGAUUUAGAGUGAAUUAGGCAUGGAUUUGGAAUGUACGUUAUGCAAGCUUUCGAUCCAUAUCAUUUUUGCAUGAUUCUAGAAUUUUUUUGAUGCACCUUCAUCGGCGUACCACCGGAGAAGAUGACCGAAAGUACUAUUCCGGUCAUCUGGUUCAUGAGCUAGGGUUUUAAUGUGCGCACCUGUAACCAUGCAAGCCCCAGUUCGAUCCUUGGCAACUGUUAUUUUAAAAUCCAUUUAUUUUCUCCCUAUGAUCCAAACGUUGCGUUUUGCUCUAGCGCCCUUGUGAACAAGCCUUGCCUCUGUUCGAUUCUUGGCCUGGCAAUUAUCCCAAUUGAUUUUAUUGAGCGCGCCUAUGACCCUAUAGUCCUCAGUUCGAUUCAGGCGCUUUGCAUUUUUUCUUUUAUUUUCAAUUGAAGCGCUGCCUUGGACCUUUGUGUCCUGAGUUCAAUCCCUGACCAAGUAUUUUUCAUCUUUUAAUUCACAUUUCAUUUUUUCACAUGAUUGUUGUGAUGUCUAUUAUUUUUUGAUGUGAUUUUCCUAAUUUUUGUAUUUCUGGAAUUUUAAAUGUGUUUGUGUGAUUGAACAUGAUGCAAAUAUGACAUGUUAUGCUAAAUGUUUUAUGAAAUGCUCAUAUUUUAUCCAAUUGCCUUGAAAUUUGACAUGCUUGAUCUAUACAUGUGACAUGAUUUUUGAGCUUUUGUUUGGCAUUUUUAGCACAUUCCAUCACUGUUUGGGACACAUGAACAUAUGAUGUAGCAUUUGGUGUCACAUUCUUGACCUUGCUUGUGUUCAUUUUCAUUUGCAUGUCAUUUGAUAUCUUCUGGACCUAAUUCUUUGCAUGAUGCUUGUGUUUAAAAUUUUGAUCUCACAUAAAAAAUUUCAUGAUCAUUGGAUGCAUUUCUGUUUUAAUGUGGAUUUUCUACCUUUUUCUUGCCUUGUGUAGAUGAUGAAUAAGCACCACUGUUGAUUGACUGUUUGGUUUGUCUGAAUGUGAUAUUGACUGUUUGACUUUUGUACAGGUACAUUAGUCGCUUUUAGCUCUCGCUUGAGCUUUGCUUUGGUUGUGGUUGAUAUACCACCUAGGUAAUCACUCUAACUCCAUGUAGUCUGGAAGCCCUGUCGUUUCUUUUGGCAUGCAUUUGGUUGAAGUCCUCCUUAAGAGGCAAUGACUGUGUUUAUUUAUAUUUAUGCCAAAGACCUCCUUGUCGAGGCAUGUUACUUGUUAAGUCCUCCUAAGUGAAGAGGCAAUUGACAGAUGGAAAGGAUUAGCAAUCAAUCCCCUGUUAUUCGUUGAAUCGUUCAUUAUGCUCGCACUAUAUGCUGAUGCUCUUGAACCUAACCCAAGAUCCUUGUAUAUAGAGUCAGUCAAGUGGAAUAGGGUCCCUCUUUCUGGAUCCCCAGGUUUUCAUUGAUUUGAGCUCACCCAGGCCAGGGUUAAGAGCAUGAGGUCUUAUCCUCAUUACCUUUCAUCAGCUUCACCCUAACUCUCAAUGUUAGUGGUUAAGAGCUUCAGCACACCCCUACAGUUUUGGCUUGUUUGUCGAGGUUGAUAUGACCCCUUGACUAAAGCCUUACCCUCAGAUGUUUGAGCCCCUUGUUGGCGUGUUUACUUCAUGUAUAUGUUUUUGUGUGGUGUGAUUGUAUCCCCAUAGGAUUGCUAGACUUCGUAUAGUCUCUCGUUUGCAUGUCAAUUAAGGUAGCAUGGUUCCUUCGUCUAGGACUUCCUUUCUUGCGUGAGCAUUCCUAAAACACAAACAAACUUUAUCUUCUCUUAAGGACACGUUGACUCCUUCUACUACAGGUGAGUAAGUCUCCAAAGGUCGAGCAUCCAUCUAGGACUUCCUUUCUUGCGUGAGCAUUCCUAAAACACAAACAAACUUUAUCUUCUCUUAAGGACACGUUGACUCCUUCUACUACAGGUGAGUAAGUCUCCAAAGGUCGAGCAUCCGGUAGAUUGCAUAGUAACGUUGUUCACCUAAAAAACACAACAAACAGAAAUAGUUUAGCCGAACUACGACAACUCUGAUUCUCAUGUUCAGAUGAGAUACGUAGGCAUGAGAUGCGAUGUCUUGUCGAGUUUGACUGACGACUAACAUUAAUCCUUGCUAGUUUUCAUCCUCGUUGCGAUUCUUUUCUCUCGCCCUCGUUGCGAUUGAGACCUUCCUUUUCUCUUGCCCUAGUUGCAAUCGAGACCCUUCUUCUUUUCGUGUGUGUUUGUUAGGAGUCGGAUAUAAGUCCAUCUAUUGGCAUUCUGUUUCCUGUUUGCGUGUGUGUUUGUUAGGAGUUGGAUGUAAGUCCAUUUAUUGGCAUUCUGUUUCCUUGUGUGUUUGUUCGGAGUCGGAUGUAAGUCCAUCUAUUGGCACUCUGUUUCCUGUUUGUAUUUCCUUGUUAGGAGUUGGAUGUAAGUCCAUUUAUUGGCAUUCCGUUUCCUUUGAGUGUUCUUUUGACGUCUCAGCGUCUCUUUUCAGUGUUUUGUUUCGGCGUGCGUUAGCCGAGCUACGAGUGCUCUGAUUCUUCCUCUGGUUAGAGAAGAUACGUAUGCAUAGGAUGCGAUGUCCUAGCGAGCACGUCUCCCAUUUCCCCGAACUACGUCGACUCUGAUGUUUGUUUCUGACAAACUACGUAGGCCCAGGAUGCGACAUCCUGCCGAGUCUGCUUUCUCCGUCUCCUCUUCCGCCUGUUUAUUAUUCCAUUGCGUGCAGUCUUUGAGCAGUUUUAUUAGCAACCUUAUUCUUUCCUUCUGAGCGUGGAUCCCAUCGAGUACGACGGACGUGAGGGGUGCUAAUACCUUCCCCUUGCGUAACCGACUCCCGUACCUAGCAAUCUUUGUUCGUAAGACCAUUCCUUUCCCUUUUUCAGGUUUACUUCGAGGGUUUCCUUUCCCUCCUUUGGGAUAAAUAACGCACGGUGGCGGCUCUGUGUCUUUUCCCGCCGGUUGUUUUUCGCGAUGCGACAGUACCAAUCAAGGUGACCAAGAGGAAAGAGGAGUCACCAUUGAUCAACUUAUAGACAAAAAUUCUCCUUGGAGGAGAACAAAGAGGCAUAUCUUGACUGAACCAAAUCCUCCUUUACCAGAUUACGUAAAACCACCGUAGCCGAUAAUUAAAAAGAAAUUGGUUCAAGAUGAUGAAGCGGGAAUGUUUGCAAAGUUCAAGGAAGUUCUAGCUACUCUCCAGGAAAGUAUUUCAUUCCAUGAAAUUUUAGAACUAAUGCCUAAGUUUGUUAAAUUUAUGAAGGCGUUUCUAAAUGGGACGGAAGAGAAAUGAAUCAAGGAACAUGUAAACAUGACCGAAAAUGAUGAUAUGGUAAAACCUCAAUCCUUACAACCUAAACUAAAAGACUCAGGUAAGUUUAUUAUUUCUUGUAAUAUCAGUGGAUUCAAUAUUCUGCAUGCUCUAUGUGAUCUGGGGUUUAACAUAAAUGUCAUGCCACUGAAAACUGUCAAAGAAUUAAAAAUGGGUGAGAUCACACUGAAUAACAUGACUCUCACUCUAGUUGAAUCGUCUAUUACUCAAUCGAUUGUUACUUUACGCAACAUAUUAGUAUCUGUGGACGACUUAUUGUUUCCUAUAGAUGUUGUAGUGCAUGAUACAAAAGGAGAUUAAGGAGGAUCUGUUAUUCUUGGACGUCCAUUCUUGGCAACCGAGAAAGCAAAGAUUGAUGUGGACACUGGUCAACUUAUCUUGAAGUCAAAUAAAAGGAAUGUGGUUUUCAAGGUAUUUGACUGGGCAUCUUAUGUGGAUAAUUUGGAUACUUUAUACCAUCCGGAGGAAAAAGGUAGAAAAGUAGACAAAGGAACAAUGAGAAAGGAAGUGACAGGCGUGAGGGUAUCCCUUGCACCUGACGUACCUUAGACAUGGAUUGUCAAGCUAGUUACGUAAAAAAAGCGUCUGAUGGGAGGCAACCCAUCCGUAAGAAAUUAUUUUUAUGUCAUAGUGAAUUUUUAUUUUUCUAACCUUGUUAAUUUUUGUGUUAUGUUGUUCGAAGAGAAAAUAGGUAAAAGAAGAAAAGAAAGAAAAAGAAAAAGGGAAGAAAAUAGAAAAAGAAAAGAGAUAGGAAAGUUUCAGCCCCUGGAAUCAUCACGCAUGAUAAUAUAAACUAGUUAUUUACAAUAAAUUUUUUUGAUAUUUAUUUAAAGAAGCACAAUUAAUAUAAAGACAAUAACACACCAAUCACACAUAAUAAUUUUAGAAUAAUUAUACUCUAAGAUUUUGAGAGUCGUGAUAUCUCCUCUUCUUAAAUGUUUAAGAAUUGGAUCUCUCUCACUAAUCUCUAUCCCCUUAUUUAUUUUAAGAAUAAACAUAUUGAAUUAAUAAAACAUAAUUGCACAUUUCUUAUAGCGAUUAUACAAACAACUAUCAAAGUUGAAAAAACUAAAGAGAGGUCAACUCAAUCUUUAUCAAAUUAAAUUAAAGUUUAUUUUAAAACACAAACAACUAGUUCAUUAAAAAGAUAACUUGUUUAGUACACAAAUGAGAUCUUACUUAAUACAUAGAAAUAAGAUCUUACAAAACAUAGAUAUUAAAAACAUAGGAACAACAUGAAAAGUUUUCAAAAUGACAUAGACAUUGAUUAACAAAGACAUGAAUUAGUUUCGGGUAUUUUUUAACCAUCCAUCAAGGUAAACUUGUUUGGAGUCAGGGGUGAAUUUUUCUUUCUCGGCUCGGAUAUCUUUCAACCAUCCAUCAAGGUAAACCUGAUUGUUGUCUGAGGUGGAUUUUGUUGUCUCGGCUCGGAUAUCUUUCAACCAUCCAUCAAGGUAAACUUGGUUGGAGUCAGAGGGCAAUUUUAUUUUUUCAGCUCGAGUGUCUUUCAACCAACCAUCAAGAUAAACUUGUUUGGAAUCAGAGGUGGAUUUUGUUUUCUCUGCUCGGGUAUCUUUCAACCAUCCAUCAAGGUAUACUUGGUUGGAGUCAGGGGUGGAUUUUGUUCUCUCAUUUCGAGUAUCUUUCAACCAUCCAUCAAGGUAAACUUGGUUGGAGUCAGACAUGGUUUCUGUUUGCUUAGCUCGAGUAUUUUUUAACCAUCCAUCAAGGUAAACUUGGUUGGAGUCAGGGGUAGAUUUUUCUUUCUCAGCUCGGGUAUCUUUUAACCAUCCAUCAAGGUAAACUUGUUUGGAGUCAGAGGUGGGUUUUGUUUUCUCUGCUCGGGUAUCUUUCAACCAUCCAUCAAGGUAAACUUGAUUGGAGUUAGGCAUGGACUUUUCUUUCUCGGCUCUGGUAUCUUUCAACCAUCCAUCAAGGUAAACUUGGUUGGAUUCAGAGGUGGAUUUUGCUUUCUUUGCUCUGGUAUCUUUCAACCAUCCAUCAAGGUAAACUUGGUUGGAGUUAGGUAUUGACUUUUCUUUCUCAGCUCUGAUAUCUUUCAACCAUCCAUCAAGAUAAACUUGGUUGGUGUCACCUGUAGAUUUUGCUUUCUCAUCUCGAGUAUCUUUCAACCAUCCAUCAAGAUAAACUUGGUUGGAUUCAGAGGUGUCUUUUGCUUUCUUUGCUCUGGUAUCUUUCAACCAUCCAUCAAGAUAAACUUGAUCAGAGUCUUGGGAGGAUUUGGUUUUCUCUGCUCGUGUAUCUUUCAACCAUCCAUCAAGAUAAACUUGGUUAGAAUUAGCAAUUUGUUUUUGACUCUUCAAUGGAUUUUUGAGCCAACCAUCAAGGUAAGGUUGAUCAGCUUGUAUUUCUUCUACAUUCUCUUGCUGAAGUUUGAUAUAUCGGGCAAAGCUUCCUUGUCCAUUCUACGAUACAAUUGAAUAAAUGGAUAUUAGUGAGUUAUUUUUGGAUGGUAUAUAUGACUAUAAAAACAAAAUUAUGUGUUUUAUG
rnacentral:lncRNA from 1 species